CAUAAAUAAUAAAUGAGUAAAUAUUAGGUAAAAAUAGUCUAAAAACAACAAUGUAUAAUAAUAAAAAUAGUAGUAAGAAUGUAAAUAAUGAUAUUAGUGAUAAUAGAAGUAAUAAUAAUAAUAUAACAAUGGUAGCAAUGUUAAAAAAAUAACAAUAACAAUAGUAAAAUAAUGGUGAUACUAUGAAAAUUAAUUGCCUUAAUAGCAAAUAAAAUAAAAUAAAAUAAUAAAAGACUAAUUUGAACUUAAAACAGAAAUCUGGGGGGCAAAUUCACAAAUAAAUAAAAGAAAGGGAUCGAAUUGAGUACGCGGAUAACAAAGAGGGGCUAAAGGGGAAAAUAUCCCCGCUCUUUAAAACGCAGCGUUUUACAUAGGACCCAAAUGAAAUUAGAAUAAAAUUACAGGGCAAAAUAAAAAAUAAAAGAAAUCUGACAGAAAGGGCUUAAAUUAUAGAAUGGGAGAAAUGUUGAAGGACCCAUUUCAUAAAUACCCCAUCCAUCCCAAAACACGCAGGUUUGGUGGCAAUCGGGUCGGGUCAUGAAUAUCCGGGAUGAGACGGCGCCGUUUUUGGAGCCAUUGAGAUUUGGCUCUAACUACGUCGUACCCCGUUCCAUGUAUAUACUAUUUUAUGGAGGAGAAAAACCGUAGGCCACCAUAUCCCAUUUUCGGUCCUUGAAACCGAUUGAGGCUCAGGCCGUAUCCCACCGUCCUUAGCCGAGCAGCGCCUCCCUUUCAACUCCGAUUUCAACAGAGCAGGUGAGGGCGACGGUGGACUAACGGAGGUAAUCCCUCUUCUCUUUCUAUUUAGUAUUAUUCCUAUCUAAAAAAAACGAAUCGGAAAUAAAAAGAAACCAAAAUAUCACCUUUUUUUAAUUUUUGAUUUCUUUUUUUUUUGUAUUCUUCUCUGUAUAUUUCUGUCAAAAAAAGUUUACAUAUGGUUCGGUCUUUUAUAGCUGAGAAUAAACGAUACCACUGUUUUAUUUUCCUCUCGUUACUAUUUUUUUUUUUGUCCUUUCUCUGUCUUUUCGUCUUUUCUUGUUUCGUUUGCAGGCCUGGACGAAGUCAACGGAGAUGAAAUUUUCCGUUUUGGUGCAAAGGGGGCUAGGCCUCGGGCAGUGGACGCGCUGACACCGCACGUGGAGGCAGCGGCGCAGAGGGAUGUGGCUAGGGCUUGCUUUCCUCCGAAAAUAGUUAGGUGUUGGGCUUAGGGUUUGAAUUUGAUUUUGGGCUUUGGGACUGGGGUUGGUUUAGUUUGGGCUUAUUUUUAUUUGGGUUUUUAGGCCCAGGUCAAAAUUGACCUGUUACAAAAUGUUUAUAGUACAAAUGAGCACGAAUAAUACAUAAUUAUGUAAUAUUUGUUAUAUUAUCAUGCGUAAUUACAUUAUCAGUAAACAUUUGUUAUACACAUAUCUCAUCUGUAAAAUUUUCGUGCUCAUAUAGUAAAAUUUGGUAUUGCCAAUUUUAGUGUUGAUGUAUCAGCUAGAAACAUUUUACUGAUAAUAUUUUUGAGCUAGAAGCGUUUCAUCAAAAUUGGUCCAUUCCCGUAAUUUUUCAAAAAAUCAACUUAUUUUUGGAAUUUAAAAGAAAAAAAGGCUUUAUAUGGAAUAUCACUCAAAAGUAAGUAGCAAAGACCCUUUUUAUAGUAGAAUUCAAACUUUUCGUUUACGGAGGAAAUAUGACUAGUUACAACAUAAUUGUGCUAAUUAAUUGUUAUUUUCAACCUUUUUCUUUAGCAUUUUUAAAAGGAAAAAAUAGAGAAUGUUACUCUUACCUGGGGUGGCUUCUACUAGUUAAUUGUCUAAAGUUAUGAUUAAUUUUUUUCAGAAAAUUCAUUGUGUUAAUUCAACAAGCCUAAAUCCUUGUGUAUGCAAUAAAUUUGCAAACCAUUGAGUUUUAUAAUGUGAAAUUCUAAUAUUGCUAAAUUUCUUGUCCCACUAACUGAAAUAACCAAAAAUUGCCGAAAGUAAGGUAAUCACUAGCUUGCUAAUAUAAUUCUCCAGCUUCCAAUGAAUAUAGAAAGUACUAUACAGCAUCAGUAAAUCUAACUUUAAUGACCUAAAAUUCUUCUUGAGAUACAGUAUAAGGGUUCAUAUUUACAAGUUUUAUGCCCAAGAAGUUUCUCUGAAAACUAUAUAUACAUACAUAUAUAUUGUGGUUCAUAAAACAAGACCUCCAAAAAUCCAAAUGCUUACCAGUUGAGGAACAAACUUCUGGUGAAUACAGCCUAGACAUAUUGAUGGUUCUCAUGGACGAGCAGCCGAAAGUGAGCUGAGAGCACGUAGACGAUGAAAGUACUCCCCCAUGGCAAGUAAAACUCGAGCUGCUUGACGGGUUGUCAGGAUUCGAGCCAUCUGCUGCAGCGUCUGCUGGCGAAGGUGAUCAGCCUGUUUUGGGAACAACACAUGCAAAAUCCAGUAAACAAAGUGCACAUCUUAGGAUAAUAUACUAACAUACACUUGAGAAUUAUUCAAACAAUUCUAGACAAUCUUAGAUAUGUUAUAUAUUUCUACAUAAAUUGUCAUGAAAUAAAGAAACUCCAUUCUCCCUCCUCUCCGAGCUGUGAAAGCCGUUAAAGUGGUGUCAUUUCAUAUCGUGAGUCUUUGAUUGCUUGUGAUCAUCAUAUUCAAGUUCGGCAUCAGUUGGUUUUAGGUUAAAUGCUUAACAAAAACAUCAGUGGCACAUCAACAACACCCUCACAUUCUCAAGCUUUGAUUUUUCAUUUAAAAGACUGAACUCAAUAUUUAAGUUCAAGUGAUCAGAUACAACUGAUGAAAAGCAAAGAAUGUCAUACCUGGCUUACAAAGUUUUCUAAGGCUUCCAAUUUAUCUAUUGCAGCAACCAUCUGAGCUCUGUAGUUUCCUGAACACAAAUCAGAUGCUACACUCUCGGCCAAACUCUGCUGCAGUUUUUCUACUCCUUGGGAAAGAGCAUCUUCAGCUUCCUGAGAAGAUUGUCGAAGAUUACAUACUUCCAAAUGCUGUUGAUCAGUCAACGGCUCAAUUUGUGGCACCACAACCUGAACAAACAGAAUUCCAAAAUCCAUAAUUCAUGAGUAGAAAAGUAGCUACUAUUGGUGCAUCAGCCCUACACUAUUUGAUUAUCAUGAGAAGUUAUUGACCUCAGUCGGUAGCUCAUAUGGCAUCUCCAGGAAAAGACAAAAGAAACUAAAGAUUUGAAAAUAUCCAAAUAAAGCUUCAGAUCGUUGAGGAUAAAUGUACUUGUCUUCACUUUACUCUUUUACUCUUUACUAAUGCAACAGUUGAUAUCAAGUGGUGAAAUAAUAUUCACUAGUUUCCGUAGUUGGUUUUUGCAAGCUCAUUAGGAUCUGUACAUGCUUCUCCGAAGAAAAUGUUUCCUACAUGGAAGAUCUCCAUGAUUCUAUGUAGGGUAGAUAUCUUAUGAGAGAAUUUGGGAUGAAUUUAUUCAUAUUAAUCGAUAACGAAUUGGCAGCCUUCCAGAAAAAUAAGAGUUAUACGAGAUUGAGCAUUACAUUUAAAAGCGCCGACGGGCGGAAUCCUCCGAUCCAGUGGAAAAAACGCUCGGCUGAAGUUCUCCAUAUACCCGAGAUCAAAUAGAAGACAUCUGCCUUAGCAGCAUCAGCUUUCAUGCGGAACAGAUUGUAAUAGUGGUUCAAGCCACUUUCUACGAGUAUAUGGAGCUCUAUAUCAGUAAUGUGUGCCUGGACUGCAGUUCUAAGUUCACAAAUCAGUCUAUUUUGCUCUUCAACCCAGUGUCUGUAUUCCAUCUCAAAUGAAGUAAUCCCUGCCAAAUUCAAAUGAAAAGAUUCUAAACAAGAAAGCAAGACAUAUGCACUUUACAUUUACACGAGAAAAAUGUGAAAUUCAAAGGGAGGGAAACCUUUGCUCAUUGGUUGCUAGUUAAUGAAGCAUAAGGUAAAACAAGUCUACUUUCUUUGAAAGCUAUAUAAAUUAAAUCUUCCAUCACUUAUGUGCUUCGCAUUGUGAUUUGUGAGACCUUCGGACAUAAUUUUCUAUUGUUUGAAAUAACAACUAGCUUACCGAUUCCAAUUAUGCAAUAUCAUUAUUGUGAAUGUCAAAAUUACAAAAGAAUGAAAAUUAUACAAAAUUUAUGCUAGUAAACAUGCGAGCAUAAUAACUUUCAUUCAUGACUUAAGUGAAGAAAGCCAUUGAACUAUAAUAACCACUUUAAUUAAGGAAAUAUCUCAAAAAAGUGCUAAUAAGAUGAUAAAACUUGCUCAUAUAAAACAAAUAUAUGACAGUGAACUAAGAUGUCGGGAAGGUUAAUAUUCUGCGAGUCAAUCUAUAAAGCAAAAACAAUGAUAAUUGAAGUAGAUUAGAUCACAAACCUGAGUUUACAGUUCCAGACAGUCCAAAAUAACCAGCCUCUGAUGCACCGGCUAUCUGUAUACCCUGCGUUAAGGCAUUAGCUAAUCUGUUACAUAUGCCACAUUUAUAAACAUGAUUAAAAGAGAUAUUUUUCUUGAAAAUAAAAAGAAAAGGAAAAAGAAAUGCCUUGUUGAUAAACAGAGAAAACAUAUUUUGGGGGGGGGGGGAGAGAGAGAGAGAGUUCACUUCACCUGCUGCCUAGCUCUUUCAAGCUCUUGCUCCAAUUGAGCUAGUUUCAAACGACUUGAUUCUAGUUGUUGAACAUAGGCCUAUAAGAGAAAAUCAGUUUACAAGUACUUGUAGAUGUUCAAUCAAUGAAAUAACUGUUCAUCUACCUUUUUCCGCAUUCGGCUUUUACGAGCAGCUUCACGAUUUUGAGCCAAACGUCUCUGUAUCUGCACAUAUUAUGCUUCUUUAAAUAAAAGAUAAAUAGAGUUGAAACAGGUAGGAGAUGCGGGAGUUCUAAUAUAUUUAAAAUGUAAAACAGCUACACAGCCGCAGAACAGGAACCGCACAGAUUGGAUUUUAUAAUACUUUCCUUUAAAAAGGGUUCAGGGUUAUGUCUGGACUUUGAAGCAUGCCUUAAGCACAAAUGCUCACAAGUAGGCAUUAGCACAUAUGACAGAAAAAAAAAAGCUAUUAUUUCUUAAAUGUUAUCGAGGGAAGAUAUGUGUCUUGCAGAGAAAGAGCAAAUGCGGCAAAUUCAUUACCUUAUCGGAGGGUUUGUUGGUUUCUUGAUCACUAAUGGAUGGUUCCACUUGCUCACAAGGUAUACAUUCAGCCUAGGAUUUAAAUCAGCAUAAAUUAGUUAUAGCCUGAAACUGAAUAAAAUGCUUAACCAACCAAGAAAUAAAACUACGAUGCAAUUUCACCUUGUUCUUUAGCCUGACAUCUGCUGGAACAAUUGUGGAUGAUCCAAUAUUUGGACUAUUGUCACCAUUGAAGGUGUCUGCCCACCUGCUUAUAUGGUGGAAUUGCUCAUAUAUCGCCAUCCUUCUGGUAAGUUCAGUUGAUGGAGAGCUCAUACUCUAUCAAGCAACUGGAACAGAACCAAAAACCAACAAAUAGCUUACAAAUCUUAUGCCGAGGACAGAAUCUUAGAUUUCAACAAUGCUUACAUUGUUUCCUUACCUCUAUCCAUGGAUCAAUCUCCAUGGGUGGAAAACAAUGUAGUGAUACAAAUGCUGAAACGAGAACACAACAAAGAUCAUCUCAAUACUAGCAAAAGUCCCAAGAACUACAGAACAUCUAAGCUAUAUGUAGGAGGGAUCUAAUAAUUUUUCUUGUUUGGACCAAUUGAGUUAUGUUAAGAGUUUCCCUCUCUUUCUAGCGUGCAUUACUAUUAAGGAUGUUGGAUGAAGGUUUCUAGUUUUCUCCAAAGGCAAUAAAAAUGACUAGAAAAAGAAAUUACUAACACUUCUAAAUGAAUAUCUAUAACUAGCAAACAGGCAUGGGGAAACAUAGCAAAGUUAUAAACAAGAUGUCCCCUCUUAUCUUUCUUAAACUCAAAACAAAGAAAAUACUAUUCAACAUUUUCAAGCCUAAUGAAAUUCAAUUUCCCUUCACAUGAAAAUCUAGAUGAGAAAAAUUGGGUAAAAGUACCAGGGAGGCCCCUGUACUAAGAGUUAGAUUGCAUUUUGCCCCCUUUACUAAAAAAAUGAGCAAAUUACUCCCUAUAGAUCAAAGAGCAAACUGAUCAUUCUGUAAAAAAAUCAUCCAUUUGUACUGUUAAAAGCUAGUGUGAUUGACAGAAUAACUAAACAGUGACACAUAGCGUGCCACAUGUAAUAGAAAUAGAUGAAAUUUUUAACAUAAGGACCAAUUUGCUCUUUUAUCUAACUUACAGGGACUAAUUUACUCAAUUUUUUGAGUAGAGGGGACAAGAUGCAAUCUAUCUCCUAGUAUAGGUGGUACUUUUACCCUCAUGAUAAACAUUAGUUCACAGUUCACUCCAAAAUGAUGUACCAAAAUACAAGACAACCAGCUCUACUUUUACAUUCAGUUCUUGCUCUUAGUAAGUAACUAGACUCGGCUAAUGCUCUUAAUUGGCGCCAAAGUUACAUGUUACAAAUUACAAGCAUCCACAAAGUAUACCAAACUUCCUGCAUGGCCAUCAUAGAUUACACCAACCCAGUAAAGCACAAAUUUACUAUACUGAUGUGAUCAAAGAAGGAAAAAUGAAAAUUGAAUCUCUCAAAAGUUUCAAAUUUCUCGUCAACCCAGAAUAGAAAACAACAAAAGUUGAAAUUUAGAAACUUAACUAAUCUUAAUAAAUAGAAAAUUGAGCCUUUCAAAAUUUACAUAAAAACUUGAGAGCUGAGAAACUUUACUAACCUUAUGGAUCAACAAAACUUCAGAUAAUCAAAGUCCUUCAAUUAAAAAAGGAAAGAAAGAAAUUGAACACUCAAACACUCUGUUGUUGCUGUAAAAACAGCAUUUUCAACCACUCCAUGAAAGCAAAUAAAAGAAAACAACCCAAAAAUUAAAAAUAGUUCAUAAACAGAAAGAAUUUGUAAAUAUAUUUAUUUCUAAAAAUCUCUAGUCAAACGUUAACGUCUGAGUGUUUGUACAGCAGCAAAAAAUAUAAAUAAGGAAAAAGACGAUAUGCGCAUAACUUUUUUUUUUUUAUCCUACGCACCCUACUCUCCCUUAACCUACGCCACUUAUUCCCCCAGGCCUCAAUUAGUGUCAUCAUAACUGACGUCAUUUCCCGGUCCAAAUUAUAACGAACAUUUGGCCCUUUAAAGGAUUUGCUGGUGGUCGUCCGUUGGGGACCCACGUGGUGGAAUAUGAUUGGUUGGGAAGUUUGUAAAGCUAGCAGACAGCCACUCAUCUUUUCCCUAUUCUUUUUAUUUCUAAUAAUAAUACAUUUCUAGAAACCAAAGGUAUUUCUUUUUAACAAUAUUUUCUCUUAGUAUUACAAACAAGUAACACGACACAAAUUUUACUAUAUGCUUCAAAAUAUUUAUAUAUAACAAAAUUUUUAAGAGAAAUAAAGUUAAUGAUUUUAAAGAAUCUCAUGAGCUUGAAGAGUUUUUUUUUUGAAGAGAUUUGAUUGGGUUUUGUCAUAUUUAUAAGCCUCUCUUAAUCAUAAAGAGGGCUUUUAUAGAGAUGAUCCAUCUAAAAAGUGAGUGGAUUUGGGUAAAAAUAUAAAUUUAAAAAAUAAAUUUAGGAAAAAAAAGUAGGCCCGCCUUGAGUAAGCUCUUUUUAGCCCCGAGCUCGACCAAAAAAAAACGGUUGCAUUUUAGUGCUAUUUUGAUGCCGUUUUGCUAUUAUAUUGUUACUAUUUUGUUGUUAUUAUUUGGAUAUUAUGUAACUCUUGUUUUAUUGUUAAUUUUACUACUAUUUUAGUUGUAUUUGUUUGUUAAGGUACACCUAUCUUGAUGUUAUUUAAGUAUAAAUAAUUUUUUAAAUUUAUUUUCAAUUUGUUGGGAAAUAUUUAUUUUAAUAUUUUUAGUGUAUCUGAUGUAUUAUAUUUUUUAAAUUUGUUCUUAUAUAAAAAAAAUUAAUACGGGUGAACCAGGUCAGGCUGAGAUUUUAGCAUUUUUAUCUAACCGGAUUUAAAUAAAAUUUUAAGCCAAAUUAUUAGAUCGAAUUAAGUCAAAAACUUAAAAAACGAACUUAAAAUUCUACUGAGUACAGGCUUAACCUAUAAUCACCUCUAAUUUUAAUGUAGGUCACACCAGAAAAAUACAAGUUGGUUAUAAAGGUAUGGAUGGUUGAUUAGUAUGUGAUGGGGGCAACUUGAGGAGAAUGUAUGAGAAUGGGUAUAAUAAUUGACCCUUAGUGGAGAAUAAAUUAUUAAGUGAUGUUAUACUUGUGGUUAAUACUUUAGUAGGCUAAACUUGACGAAUUCUCUCUCUCCAAAACCAUAACACUAAGUAAUCUAGAUUUUUAGUAUUUAAAAAUCACUCUAUAUAUAAAUUUGUGCUUCACACAUUUGUGAAGAGUUUGUACAAUUAGGGAGGAAAAAUGAAGAAUUAGUAACAAUUAACACUCUUAUUAAAACGCCGACGUUUUGAAAAUAUUUAGAUUUUAUAUUCGAAUUUUAUUUUAAAUAAAUAUUUAGAUUUUCAAAUUUAUUUUAAUUAUGUUUUUGUAAUAAAUAAAUAAAUAAAAGGAACAGGUCAUUUCUUUUCCUUGGGAGGGGGGGGGGGUAGGGGCUACCCCAUGAACCACAUUAACCCUUAAAUAAUACCACCAAUUUGCAUGUAUAAUCUGCCUAUCUCUAUCACUCCUUUUCGCUCUCACUUUCAACACACAUAUACCCACAUUAUUACGUUGCAUUUACGUAGCAAACCAUUUUCCCUGCCGAAAAUGUAUUAUUAUGAUGGUUACUUAUUUUUUUUCUUGAACGAGUUUUAAUUUGAUUGAUAUGAAUAUUAUUAUCAAUGCAAGAGGACGUGGGUUCGAGUGCAUUGAAGCGCAUUAUCUUCCUAUUUAUGGGUUGGGGAGAGACUAUGAAUAGCUUUAAGCACUAUGUCAAAAAAAAAUAGAUAUGAUCAGAACCUAUAAUGAGAUUGUUCAAAAAUUUUUUUUUUUUUGAAAACACAGCUUCACAAUAUCUUGAAUAUUAAAUUUUCAAAAGCAUGUGUUCUUUUUGACACAAUGCCUAGAAUUAUUCAUAACCCUUCCUCAACUCAUAAAUGGGAGGAUAAUACGUUUCAGCGCGCUCGAAUUCAUGUCCUACUAGAUUAGUAACAAUACCCACGGCAAUCGAAGUAAGACUCAAUUGAUUUUAUCUUUAUUAUUUAUUGGUGGAUAAAUGAUUUUUCUAGAAAAAAAAAGGAAAACAAUGGGGAAAUGGCCUAUAUAUGUUAAUGCCUGCUUUUUUUCCCUACAUGAUUGCCACUAUAUAUAAGAGGAGCACUAAAUUUUCUUUAUAGGAAUCUCAACAUUAUUAUAGUUAAUUAGAUAUUAUAGGUAGCAACAAAUGAAAGCCCCUUUUGAGUCCAAAAUGAGUUGCUCAUAUCAUAUCUAGUUUGGGUUAAGCUAAUUAAUUAAGAUAAGGGAGAGGGAGAGAAUCAGUGUGUAAAGUCUAAAGAGGAAAAGACAUCCACCAUAGAAAUUAGGUCACUUUUUCUUUAAUGCUUUCAGGUGGGAAAUUUUAAUUUCUUUCUUUGCUUUGCUUUUAACUUUUAAAUUUUAUUCUUUGAAUUUAGCUCCCUUCCCUACCUCCCAUAAUCCCAUUACUCAUGGGAUGGAAUCCAAGUGGCAUUCUUUUAUACAAAUUCUGGCUUGCCAAACAUAUAUAAAAGAUGAUUUUAAAGUUUUGGGCUCCUGUAAAGCAAUUUGAUGACUGAAUCCUUAGUUAACGACCUGAAAAAAAAGAUAGCUUUUUUAAGCCAUGCAAAUGGACAAAUAAUGGGGUUUUUUUAUUUUUAUUUAAGAAAAUAUUAUUAUUAAUAGGCAUAAUGAAUAACAAUAAUAUACGAUUCGGUGUAUAGUAUAAACAAUAAAUAAUUCACUAUAAAUUAAUGCACAAUUGUUAUGUCUAUAAAGUAAUCUAAAGAAAAUGACAAAUUGACAGUAACUGUAACAUUGGAAUAAUUCAUAAACAACUCAGAGAUGCAUUAACUUGAUCGAAUCGCUGAAAUUUAUAUCCUAGCAUCAUCAAAUUAACCUGAUGAUGAACAUCAAUCAACCAACAAAAGAUUGCCAAAAGCCUCAAGAGACCCCACUGUAUCAAUGAUGCAAAAAAAGUUAAGUCUUAGAUAGCUUAUCAUUCUCCUCAUCAUCUUAAAUUUAUCAUCAUCAUUAUGAUAUAUCGUGAUAAAGCUCUUUGAGAACAAUUCUUAAUAGAUUUGGUGCGCGCCUUUAUUUUGGAAAAUUUCACAUAUAAGUCAAAACAUAACUAAAAAUUAAAAGUAAAAAUAAAAUUAUCUCUACUUUUAAAGAAAAUAGAGCGGGCAAAACAAAAACUACGAAAAAUAUAUACAUAUAAAUAUACUUAUUUUAUUUUUAUUUUGUCUGAGGCACUUUGGUAAGGAUUGAACUACAUGUACGGUGGAUAGUAUAAAUUUGAACAUAGUUUAUCCUAAUUUAGAGCCAAACCUAAUUAUAAAUUUUUUAGUUUUUAUAAAAAAAAAUAUAGAUUUCUUCUCCAAGCAUUCGAAUAGUUCAAAUCUUAGAGUCAUCAUUAUUGAAAAGAUUUUACUCAAAUUCCGCUCUCAACCUGAAUAAGAUUAAUUUCAAACCGUAAAACGAAUAAAUAUAUCUAUAAUUACAUCAAUAAAAAAACUUAAGAUUCAAACCCUUCCAAUAGAUUCCCUUUUUUAAAAAAUCUUUCUAAAUUCAAAACUAAUUAUAGGCGAAUAUUUGGUGUUGAGAAUCAAUCGGAUAACAAAAAAAAUAGUGAUUUCAAUUAAUAUGUGGGCCCUCCAAAUGUUUUACUUUAGUUUCACCUCAGACAAAAAAAUAAACUUUAUUUUUAACUUUUGAAAUUGAAAUCAAAAUCUUAUAGAAUAAAAAUCAAAAUAUUUGAAACCAAUAAUUGUGAUUUGGUUUGAAUAUAUACAUAUAUAAUAUUGUUUCGGAAAAAACUAAUAUUGUAAUUCUUGAUUUUUUUUUUUCAAACAACAAUCAUGAUACAUGCUCUGGAUUCAUUUAUAUAUUUAUAAAGUGCAUUGAAUAAUUAAAUUAAUGUCAUAAUCAUUCAAAUUAGUUGUUAAAAGAAAAGUUAAUACAUAAAUCAUUCUUAUACCUAAUAUUUUGUUCUAUCAUUUCUUUUAAUUAGUUAUAACCGAGUCAUUGCAAUAUGCCAUAUAAUCAAUUAAAUUCAUAAAUAUCACAUGUAUAUAAUUAACAACUUGCGAAUAAUGAUUUAUUUUAUAAAUAAAAUAUUAUAAAUUUUCAUACACAAUUUUUCUAAAAUUAGAAUUAGCUUAUAAUUAUAAUUAUGAUAUUUAAGACUUAAUUUACUUACUCUAAUAUAAAAUUACACUUUUAUAACUUUUUUUUAUGAAAUAUUUGUUUGUAUGAAUAUAUCUAAUUUUACUAAUAACAGUUGGAUUAAAUGAAUUGAUCUAUUGUUAGAGAUUGUGUGACCUGAAUCUCGUCACUUGUUGAGGAAAUAAAUAUAGUGGCACAAUAAAGGAAUCUGUGGGGGCGAAAGGCCGAAGGCCGUAGGCCAUACAACACAAGUUGAAUCCAUAUAGAACUAUUCUUUUUCUAUUUGACUUUGAUUAGAGCAUGAUUUUUUAACCCUUAAAUAGAUGUAGUUGAAACUCCUAUUACAUCAUUCGUUUUUCAAGAUUAGUGAAUUUUCUCCUCCUUUGCCUGUGAUUUUUUUCCCGAAAGGGUUUCCACGUAAAAUAUGAGUAUUCUUUUUCUUUUCUUAUUGCUUUGUAAUUGUUUUACCGCCAUUAUCGAUGUUUAUUAUAACAUCUAUAUACAUUGAAAUGAUCAAUCUAUUAUUUUAUAAGAACUGUUCCUUCAUUUAGUCUUAUUUAAAUAAAACGAGUUCCAUGUAAAAAGAAAAAAAAACUGAACUUGAAUGGAAUUAUGCGAUUUGAAUAAUAACAUUAAUCUAAAACUAAAUUAAAUAAUAUAAAAUUUAAACCGAACUGAACACAUUAACUCGAAUCAUUUACUUAUAUUCAAUUUAAAAAGUAUUUCUUUUGUGGAUGCAUAGGAUGGGCAAAAGACAAAAACAAAUUGAUGUAACUUUUGUUCAUUAAUAUAAAUGAUUAGAUCAAAAGAUAGGAUAAUGCUUACCACUGCCACUGAAACGUCUUCUUUUUGUUGCCCUUUUCCUUUUUAACCAAAUUUUAGAACCUUUAGAAAAACAAAAGCAAUCUCAUCACCUCAAUAAUUCAAUCCAAUCCUUAUUUUUCAUACAAUAAUAUUUAUGCCUAGAAUUGCGUUAUGGAAAUGAGAUCUUUGGGUAUGAAAUGGGAAUAUUUUAAUAAUUCAGUGUCACAUCAAUAAUUUUAUAUUAAAUUUUAAUUUUUUUUAAAAUAAAAAUAUUGAUAUAACAUUAAAUUAUUUUAAAAUAGAUACAAAUAACAUGGAGUCUAUGUUUCGUACUAUUCUUUUUCUGAUUACCAAUUGUAUUUAUAAAGGAUUUACUUUUCACUAAUGCAAUUCGUGAAACGUCUUCACAAAGGAAAUUCUCUUGGAGUUCAAGGAGCUUGUCAUUCGCUCUUUAAUUCCUUUAAUCGUAGUGCUUCAUUGAUUAAAGCAAUCAUAUCUAAUCAUAUAUAUGUUACAAAAGAAAAAGAAAAGAAAAGAAAAAGCUAGUCAUAUAUGUUAUAAAAAAAUAGAAAAGUAUAUGGAAAUUUUGAGUUUUAAGUUAAAUUUUUAUUUUUAAAAUAUUUUUUAAUAAUAUUUAUUUUUAAAUAUGAUUUUAUUACUAUUAUUGAAUACGUAUGAUAUAUAAUAUAAAUAUUUACAAAUUAAAAUCAUUAAAAAAUAAAUAAAAUAUCCGACAUAUAUAAUGAUAUAGACAUUUUUAAUUGAUAUUAUAUUAUGUGACCAUUAAUUAAUACGAAGUCAUAUUAUUAAUCAAUAAAAAAUUUCAUUAAAAUGGUUAAUUACUGAGGUAAACGAAGGGAAGGAGAUGAUGGUUUGAUGAAGAAGGAAAGAGCACAGGUUGGGAGGAAGUAUUAAUUCUCUUGGGGGAGAUGGAGAUUUGGUGGGUUGUCUAGGUGAGUUUGUGAGCUAUUUGCAUAGCUCUUUUAUAGUAGAGGAUAAUUUUGGUAACGUCUUAAGAUACUUGGCGUGAAAGCCUGAUUUGAUAUAUUUAAUAGUGAUAAUGAUGUGAUGUCUUAGGAUGAGAUAUGUUACAAUGACUAACAAUUAACUAUUCAGGAUUUCCACAUGAUGCUCAUAUAGUCUUAGAGAUACAUAGUUCGUCAGGCUGAGGUUUGCGUGCUAACUAUAGGUGAGGAGGUGCAUAGUUCGCCAAGUUGAUAUUCGCGAACUAACUAUUGAUAAGUUGUUAGAUCUGUUAUAUGAGGUAUAACAAAAAUCACUAUGAAAAGUAAAUUUUAUUAUAAAUUUCCUUCAAAAAGAUUAUUUAUAAAUUAGAUAUAUUUUAUUUAAAAUAAAAAAAAUAUUUAUAAUAAUAAUUUAGAAAUAUAAUGAAUAUCUAACUAUUUCCAUUAGAUAAAUAUAUAUAUACACACAAUAAAUGGGAAAAUCUACGGUAAAUGAAGGCUUGCGAAUCGAACUCAAGCCACACUUGGAGCGGUGAGCACCCUUAGCCGUCAAGUCAUUACAUGGGUUUCAAUAUAUAUAUUUUUAAUUUUUAAUCAACAAACGGGCUGGACUUUAUGAGAAUAAAACAAAUAGAUUAAAAACAAAAGCAGUAUAAGGCCCAAAACAAACAGGCCUGCAAGCAAAAUUAGAUAAAACACCCCGAAAAGACGUUACCAGCGACAUUUAAAUGGAAUCCCAUUUUAUUGAAUAUUUUCAUUUAUUAUUUAUUUUAUAAAAUAAUAUUUGGUAUAUUGUUAAUAGAGUUUUCAGACUCCACAAGUAGAGUUAGGGAGAUUGACAAAUGUCUUAUAUGAGUAUACUAAAAUAAUAAUAAAAUAUUUUAAAAAAGAGAAACAUAUGACAAUUUUUUAAGAUAGCUUGUGAAAUAAAAAAAAAACACUUUUAUUACCUAUUAAUAUAUUAAAUGGGAAUAAAAUUAUAUUAGGAUCAUCCUAAAAAACAUAGUUUUUAGGCACUAAUAAAAUAGUGCCACGUCAUUAAAUUUUAAAGAUAGUAAAGUAUUAUUAUACACUCAUCUAUAUCUAAUAUCUUCUCCAACUUAAUUUAACUUGAAUUAAAUUACUUAAAAUAAUUAAUUUUUUAAAUUAUAAACAAACAUCUUUUAUUCUUUUACAAGUUUUAAUUAUUCUGUUUUUUUUUCAUAAGUUAAUAUUUUUUAUUUUUAUGCAACCAAAUUUUUUAAAAAGAUAGUAAUUUUUGUACAAUUUUUUUCAUGCCAUUGACACAUGAUUUUGGUAAUUAUUUUAUCUUGAACCCCGAACCUUGAGGUUCAGGGUUUCAAUUUGAGAUUUAAGAUUCAUAGUUUUUAUUUGAGAUUUAGGGUCAGUUCUUCGUUGCUGUGGAAAAGUGCUGUGGAAAAGUGCUUUUGAAAAGUUUGAUUUAAAAUUUGAGUGUUUAGCAUUGCUGUCAAAAAGUGCUUUUGAGAAAUAAAAUUUUCAUUUUAAACAUGUUAUUAUCAAGUAACAAAUAUGCAUUUAAAUAAUAUUUAAAUUAGUUAAUAUUAUUAUAUUUUAGUAAGAAUAUAAAAAAAUUAUUAUAACUUGUUGUUAAUAUUUUAAUAUAUGAAAUAUAAAUUUUAAAUAUUUUUAAGCAAUAAAUAUUAAUUAUUUAUAAAAUUUAAUUAGAAUAUAUAAACUAUAUUUUAAAUAUUUAAAUAUAACCAUUAAAUAUUUGUAAUUAGUAUUUUAAAAAAUAUUUUUUUAUUUUUAAUUAAUGAUUUUAACACAUUUGUACUUAAGCACCAAGAAAAAAAAAAGAAAAUACUAUGUUAUUGGAGGGGUGAAAAAGUAAUUAAACACCAAAAGUACUUUUGGGAGAGGAAAAGCUGAAAUUUUUAGCUUCUCCUUCUCAGAAGUGCUUUUGAAAAGCACGUCUGAAAAACUAAAAAUUUCAGCCAAAAGCAGCUUGUUCUUCACAGCUUUUCUUCCAAAAGUGCUUUUGGAGUCAGAAAUACUUUUUUUAAGCAAUGAAGAACUGGCCCUUAAGGUUCAAGGUUUGGGCGUUAGGUUUGGGAUUCAAGGUUUAAAGUUUAAAUUUAUAUUUAGGGUUACAAAUUAUGAGUUCAAGAUUCAGGGUUUGAGUUUAGGGUACAAGGAUUUAAGAUUAUAGUUUGGGGUUCUAAAUCUUUGAGUUAGGAAUUAAGAUUCUAUAUUCAAGUUUCAGGGUAAAAGAAAUUCUCAAAAUUAUUUGUCAAUGACAUGAAAAAAAUUGUUGAAAUAUUAUUAAAUAAUUGAAAAGGAGCCAUGAAUAAUACGGUGGAAAUGGUCCAUAAAAUAAUUUAUCUAUUAAUGAGUGUAUAAUAAUAAUUUCAUAACUUUAAAAUUUGAUGAUGUGGUAAACAAAUUUUGGUGCCUAAAAACCUUAGUUUUUAAGAUCAUUCUAAUGUAAGUUAUUCCCCUAUUACAUAUCAUGUUUGUAUUAAAACCUUAACUCUUCUUCUCAACAAGUUCUGAAGUUUCAAGAGCAAAUGAACAACAGUGCCAACAAUACUAGGAGUAACACUGCCAAAAUACCGAAAUUAUAAAAGAGUAGAGGGCAAGUCAAACCCCCUUCCCUCCAAACCCAACAUGAUGAAGCUGCUUUUUCUCUAAAUGCCCAAGGUUAAGCUCAUAAUUCCCACUCAAAAUCUUUGACCACAACAACAUACAUGUCACGAUGAGAUAGAGGUGUUAAGAAGAAACAUUCAAGCUUUAAGGCCCGAAGAUAAAGAAAUGGACUAGGCCUUUUGUUCUAAUACCCCCCUUUGCCUGUGAUUGGAAGUGCUGAUUUGCCACAAAGGAGACAUUCAUGCAACUGUGCAUUUAAUGUAGUAUCACUACGACAACAACUAACCGAUUACUAUGCCUACUAUCAUUAGCUUAAAUCAAGUCAGUUUUGUUGUUGGGAGGAAUAUGACUAAUAAUAUCAUUAUAGCUUAAGAGAUUAUCUAUACCACGAGGAUGAAGAUAGAGUAAACGAUUUAACUAUGAGAAUUAUUUUAAUGUAAACACUAACUUUGUGUUUGUCUUUUAUAUAGGAAGAGUGAUUAACUUUAGGUAACAGCCAAAUAAGACGACGAUUAUCGUUUUUAUAAUUGAGAUUAGUAUGGUUCAUAAUCUAAGUUUUGGGUUAAUUAUUUAUUUAUGUCAAAUUAUAGAGUAAACUUUUGAAGGCUAAAAUAUGAUUUAAGUCGUAUAUUAAAAAUUUAGUCCCUAUUUUUACUUUUAAGGAUUUAGUUCCUUUAUUUUUUGCUUUAAAAAUUUUAAAUCUAGUUGUUAUGAUUAUUAAAAUUAUUCUAUUAAACUUACUAGUGCACAUUUUUUAAAUAAAAGAAAAUAUUCACUUGUUAGUCAUGUAACAAUAAAAAUAAUGUUAAAAUUAUUAAUGUGGAAUUUUUUUUCUUAAAACACAUAUUCAAACUUGUCAUGAGUUUUUUUUGUGGUUAGAAUAGUGUUCUUAAAAUUCACGUUAGCUUUGAUAUUGUUAACAAUAUUAACUAUUUACUAAUGAUAUUAUAAAAAUAGAGGACUAAAUUAUGACAAAAAAUAAAAUAUAUAGAUUAAGAUCACAACGAUGGUGGUGGGGCAAGCUUCACAAAGAACAAUUUCAGUAAUGAGAACGAUCAAGAGCUUUUCUUUGUCGUAUUCAGCCAAAUCUGAUUUCGGAUUUGGGAUCCUGCUAAACACUGACCCAACCCAUAAUUUCAUUUGUUGGCAUUUGGUUGUCCCUUUGAAGGAAUUGCUUCCUUUGUUCCCGAAAAUCAUGGGUUCAAUCGAUUGUAUACUUUGUCUGGAUGUUCUCCUUGUUUUGCUUUUAAUUUUGUUUUAUGCAACUUAGUAAUUGAGUUAGUGUUGUUUAGCUUAAUUGACGAUCCUUUUGUUUAUACCAUCAUAUCCCAUGAAGAUCUUGACAAAUUCGAGUCAUUUUGGUCCUUGAAUCAUUUGAAUGUUGUUUUGGAGGAUUUUCUCCUCAUUGGUUUGGUUGUUGGUACUGAUAAUUUGACCCCAAAUUGUCUCCAAUCCCAUUUCAAUAUGAUUUUUUCAGAGUUAAUGGCUUUGGGCAACAGAAAAAGACAAUCAAAUCCCAACUGUGGUGGCUCAUCUAUUGGGGGGAUUGAAAAAGAAAAAGAAUAGAUAGGGUGGUGGUUUGGAGGUCAACGAUGGUGACGCCAAAUAUGGUUAUGGAAGAGGUGGUGAUGGCGAGAUUGUUGGUAUGAAGAAGUAUAAACAUAUUGGACCAUUUAUGCAAAAAGUAAAAAUAUUGGGCCAUUUUUAAAAACACAAAAAAGGCAAGAGAAAAAAAAUAGUCACUCAACUUUGCCUCGUCCAACGUGACAAGUUAAUUGGCCAUGUCACCUGUCCCAUUAGGCUUGUAAUGGAAAAUUUUAAUGGAUGACUGAUUUGUCACUUUUCGAUAACGUUAAUAACUAAUUUGUUAAUUUUUUAAAGUUAAGUGACUAUUUUGUCAUUGAGGUCAAAGUUGAGUGACUAUUAGUAUAAUUUACUCUUUUUAUUAAACAUAUGUAUUACAAUAUUUAAAUAUAAAAUAAAGAGUAAUUAGUAGUUGAUUGAGUCUUAGUUCGAUUAACAUCGACAUUGUUGUUAGUACAAGAGGACGUGGUUUUGAGUGUGGCGCUAAAAUAUAUUAUCCUCUUAUUUAUUUAAGGGUUGGGGAGGGUCUAUGAAUAGUUUCUUCUAGUUAUUGUAUUAAAAAAAGUAAAAAGGAGAGAAAUUUAAUUUUAAAAUUAGAUAAAUGAAUAAAAAUAAUACAUUUUUAAAAUAAACAAAAAAAAUCUUCUUUUUUUUCAAAACAAAUCAUGAGAAUGACUAAAAAUUAUCAAUUAAAAUUAAUUUAUAGUUAAAAUAUUCCUACCAAAUGUAAGAAAUUAUUAAAUAAUUCAUUUUCAAUUAUUUAAUUUAAAUUACUAUUUCAAUAAUAACAUUAUUUUUCAAAUUUAAUCAUAAAAUAUAAACAAUGUAGUAAAAACAAUUACAGUAUUUUAUUAUUUUUUGAGAUAGUGAACUAAUCUUAGACUUACUUUAAUUUCACUUAGAUAAGAAAUUAAAAAAAAAGUAAUUGAACCGUCACCCAAGUCAAUUUAUCAACCUUACAAAAGUUUUAAUUUUAUAAAUAAUAAAAUUAUACGUUAAUAUAUAGUAAAAUUAUACUAAAAAGUUUUUUUUAAUUCCUUAAAAAUAAUAAAAUAAUAAAAUAAUAAAAUAAUAAAUGAUAAAAUUAUAGACUUAAAAUGAUUAAUUGAAUCAGUGUCAUGAGUCAAACCAUACUAACUCAAUUAAAAAUAGAGUAAAACAUCAUUAUAUUUAAAAACUAAUAAAUAUCAUUAUUAAAGUAUUUUAAAUUUUUUUAAAUUUUAAAUAGAAAAUAUUUAAGAAAAAUCAUAAAUCCACAAAUUAUGAAAUUUGAACUUAAGACAUAUAGAUUCAACUAGAACUUCAUUUAUCUUUUUUUAUGCAAGAAUAUCAUGAAAACACUUGUACUAGGAACUGUAUUGUAUUUUAUACCUUUAACUAGAAAAAAUGGGUACAAUAGUCUAUGUAUGUUAGAUUAAAGAAUAAAUUGAUUCUUCUAUUAAAAAUUACAUCUAUUUCUAGGGUUAAAAAUUGAUCUCUAUAUGUCAGCAUAAGAUAAAUGUGGCACAUCAUGUGUCACUUUCUGGUUAUUUUAUCAACUACGCUAGUUUUUAUUAAUACAAAUGGAUAACAUUUAAAAAAAGGGACCAAUUUGCUCUUUGAUCUACUGUACGAGACUAAUUUGUUCAUUUUUUAAGUAGAGUGGCAAAAUGCAAUCUAACUCUUAGUAUACGGGUCUCCAUGGCAAUUUUACCUAAAUCUUUUUAUAUAUAUUCUUCGAUUUAUUACGUGCGUGUGUGAUAAUCUUAUAAUAAAAAUAUAAAAGGAAAAGUGAAAAAAAUGGAUUUCCCGCUUCUUCCGCUACCCGCUUGACUAAAAAAAAAAAAACUGUCCCUCACCUCCUUUCCAACAUUUUCCUACCCUUUCAUUUCAUUUCAAUGCAAUCCCCCAACGGAAAUUCGUAACUCAUAAUCAAUUUCCAUUUGAAUUGUGCAACUCUUUUCAGACCUUUUCUUGUUCCAUUCUCAACUCUUUCCCGUCACUCUCUCCGGAUCUGUAAGCUCUCUCUCUCACUUUCAUUUUUCAUUGUUUCCAAUACGAUUAACUUGCGAAACCUAGUUUCUUUUCAUCAAUUCGUAAUUUUCUAGGGUUUUUUUAUUUUGAUUUUGCUUUUUCAUUUUCUGGACAGCUAAGUAGUCUGAUAACGAAAUGAAAACGUAUCAAGCGUUAAGCGCUUAAGGUUUAUUCUUCUUGUUAUAUGAUUUUCAAUUAUCUCAACUGAAAUGAAAUAGUUUGGCCUUUCAUUUAAUUCAUUUUUCACAUGGCAUGCAUUUCUCUGCUAGUUUUUUUUUUUUUUUGUUCUUUUCCCUUUUCCCUUUAGCCUUUAUGUUUUUUAGUAUUGUAGUAUUAUAUAGGCAUAUUCUCGCUUUACUUGCACCAUAUCGUGUUAAAGAUGAGCUACUCGUUCGACUAUGGUCGAUAAUUAAAGCUUCGUGGCUUGACUUUCUUGCUAGAUUGCGACUAAUGCUCAAGAGAUCAUUUCUCUAUCAUGAGUAUUUUGUAAUUAAGAUUUGAUUAAAUAUGUCUGCUUAUAUUGAAUGAUACAAAAAUUUAGUGUGUCUAGGAAAUUCAAUCAAUAGGAACUAUGGACGCGAAUUUCAGAUGUUGGUUUUUGUAGCAUGUUCUUGAUAGACUAUACCAGUUUUACCAUUUUCUGUUUUUUCCAACUUUUUGAAUUGCUAAAAUGUGAAAUCGGGAGAACUUAUUGUCUGUCAAGCAGUUUUGGUAUAGUUAUCUAAUUUCAAAUCUGACUGUGUAUGGGAUCUUAUUAUUGAACUUUUAUCCCCAAUGGACUGAUGGAGUUGGUCUUCUGUUGAAUUUGGCUAAGUCAUGUGCAAAAUCCCUGCAGGAACCUGCAAUGAAAUCCUUGAUUCUUGUGUCUAACAAGUACUAGAAGCAGUUAAAAGUUUAAGGGCCUUGCUUCAGCAAGUUGGAUGACAAAAUUUAUGUGCUGCUCACAUUAUGGAAAAGGACAACUCUGGUGGCAAGAAUGCAACAGUUUCUCUGAUUGAUGAAAGACUAGGGGAAAUUACUGAUGGAAUUCAGAAAGUUCAGGGGAAACCUGAGGAGACACGAAGUCUGAAUGUCAGUAAUUACAAUGUUAUUAAGUUAGACGAGGUUAAUGGACAAGACAGAUCAGGUGAUGACAGGGAUCAGAAUCAAGCCUUGGCAUCUAGAGCUGUUCAGGACAAUUUAGGUGAUAAGGAAAAACAUGUUAAAAAAUGUGACAAGAUGGAUAAGGAUAGGGAAUCAUAUUCUAAAGCACUAGAAGAAAUGUAUGAGACUGCAAAAGCAGUUCAUUUUGAUGAGCCAGAACCUGUCUUUGAUGGCACAGAGGAUCCUGGGAUGGAGUCCAAACUAAAUUCAUCAACUUGUUCCUCGGGUUUUAAUCUGGAAGAGGGAUAUAUGUGGCCUGAGAAAGCAGUGGUGCUUAAAAAUUUUGUGAAGGAGAAGGGUGCAGUGGCAGUGACCAAUGUCUUGCAUCACCUUUCUAUUAAAAGAGAUGAUGUUGAAAUGGGCACUGUUCGUGUUUAUCAGGGUGCCCCAGGUUCUUCUAAAAUCGGGGAACAAACUGCAGAAAGAUCUGCCUGGAAUCCCCUAAACUAUAUUAAGAUGUCAUGUACAGCUGAUGCAGGAUGGAAAGCUGAACAGGGGGAGGAUGACACUGAAGGAUCACUUAUUCCUGUUGUCACAAAAGGAAAAGUUUUGUUAUAUACAAGGUUAGGAUGCCAAGAUUGUAGAGAAGUUAGGUGGUUUCUGCGCAACAAAAGACUUAGAUAUGUUGAGAUCAACAUUGAUUUAUAUCCCAGUAGAAAAUUGGAGCUAGAGAAGUUAUCUGGAUCUUGUGCUGUUCCUAAGGUCUUCUUUAAUGAAGUACUGAUUGGAGGCUUGAGCGAACUCAAACACUUAGAUAUGUCUGGCAAGCUUGCAGAGAAGAUUGAUUUUUUGAUUACUGAAGCACCGUCCACUGAAGCUCCUUUAUCACCUCUUUCUGGUGAAGAUGAUGUUUCUUGUAAAGGGCCUGUUGAUGAGCUAGCUCUAAUUGUCCAAAAAAUGAAAAGAUAUAUUGUUGUUAAGGAUAGGUUCUACAAGAUGCGCAGGUUCACUAAUUGUUUUCUAGGUUCUGAAGCGGUGGAUUUCCUAUCAGAAGAUCAGUACCUGGAAAGGGAAGAGGUUAGUUUGGAUUAUUAUGUUCUCUCAGACCAUUAUAGUGAAUUUCAGGUGAUAACUGUUUGCUUCACGGAUUUGUCCUCUAUUUCUAUUAUUAUUUUUCUCCAGAGAGUGUUAGGACCCAAUAUUUCCUGAAUUAGAGCACUAUUUUAGUGGUUUCCUAUGGUGAAUGCAGAGUAAAGCCAAAGAAACAUUUUUUUGCUGCAUAUUAAAAUUUUCAUGAAGGAUGAUAUGAAAAUUUUAUUUUCUGAAAGUUCCCUUGAUGUCUUUUCUUUCCGUCCUUCCUUUCAACUUUCAAGUGGUCAGAUGAAUAACUAGAUAAUGAAUAAGUGUGUGCAUUAUAGAUGGCAAUUUUAUCUUUACUUUCAUGUCUUAAGAUAAACAGUCUCAGAAAAAUAGUUGUACAUAUUGCAAUAAUGGCUCUUCUUGUUUUCCUCGUUCUCUUGUUUAUUUGCUGUAAAUGAGUGGUUUUGGGAGAUUUUAUUUAUGGGGUUAAUAUUUGGUACUCUGGCAGUGUACUCUUUUUAUUCCAUAAGCUGCCUUAAAAAAUUGCCACGUCUUUUUUCUUAAUAUUUUACUAUAUUCCUAUAGGACACUUGUUAACCCUCUGAUCCUACUUGUGGAGUCCAAAAACUCCACUAAUAGUGUACCAAAUAUUUUCCAUUUAUUUAUUUCGUUUCUCUUAGUUUUUGACUGAUCGUAUCAGACUACUUAAGAGUUUUGAGUUGAGUUUAAAAUUCCAGAUUUUGUAUGCCUGCUCUAUUUAUACAUUCUUGGAAGUGGUUAUAUCAGCAUUAUUUCCCCCUCUCUUUUCCUUUUUAUCGUGUAACAGGCUGUUGAAUUUGGGAGAAAGCUUGCCAGUGAACUGUUCUUUCGACAUGUUCUUGAGUGAGUCUAAACCCUCCCAGUUUAUUAGAACUUCUAUUCAGCAGUUGACAAUCCUUCUCAUAAAUUUUUUUUCUUGAUGACACUUAAUAAUAGUGAGAAUCUAUUGGAGGAUAGUAACCACUUGUAUCGGUUCUUGGACCAUGAUCCUGUCGUAUCAACUCAGUGUCACAACACUCCAAGGGGUAUGAUUGAACUGAAGCCAAAGCCCAUCACUGAAAUUGCAUCAAGAUUGAGGUUUCUGUUCUGUGCCAUUUUAGAAGCCUAUGCAUCAGAAGAUGGAAGACUUGUUGAUUAUAGAAGUGUUCAUGGAAGUGAAGAGUUUGCAAGGUUUGACACCUCUUACUGUAUGAUAUUGCCCACUCUACUGUCUUCAAAAUUUUGUUUGAUUCUUUUUACUUAAUUAAGUUUUUGUUGUUAAUGGCUGAAUAAUUUUAGGUAUUUAAGAAUAAUUCAAGAGCUCCAAAGAGUAGAUGUCCAGGACAUGCCAAGGGAGGAGAAGCUUGCCUUCUUCAUAAACUUGUACAAUAUGAUGGCCAUCCAUGCAAUUUUAGUGUGGGGUCAUCCUAAUGGUUCAUUGGAAUGGAGGAAGCUGUUAGGAGACUUCAAGUAUGUUGUUGGUGGGUUCACAUACUCGCUUUCAUCUAUUCAUAAUGGCAUUUUAAGGUGCAAUCAAAGGCCACCAUUCAAUCUUUUGAAACCAUUUGGUGUCAGAGAUAAACGGUUACAGGUGAGACCAUGUUGGUAAAAUAACUAAACUAAAGCCUUGAAUGUCUCAUGUGGAAAUUGAAUUUAGGUCAUUCGGUGUUAUAUGCUUUUUAUCAGGUGGCUCUACCAUAUCCUGAGCCUCUAAUUCACUUUGCCCUUGUUUGUGGUACCCGAUCUGGGCCUGCUCUUCAAUGCUACUCUUCCAGAAAUAUUGAUAAAGAGCUGAUGGAUGCAGCUCGGGUUUUCAUAAGAUCUGGUGGACUUACUGUUGAUUUGAGUAGCAAGGUUGCAUAUGCUAGUAAGCUCCUCAAAUGGUAAGUUAAUUCAAGAGUUUUUGUUGCACAAAUUUGUAUUUCUUCCCAGAGGCCAUUACUGUUCAGCAGGUAAAUUUAGAUUUUAAUAGUUUCUACAUGCGGAGAUGCACACUCAUGGUAACACCCAUAUGCACAGAGCCACAUUAACAUACACGUUCAUGCAGUCUAAUUCAUUGGCUAAGGGAGCUUCUAAAAACUGAUGCCUUCAUUUUGACUUGUAUAAGCCUACAGGAGUUCUUAGUUGUAGAGUUAUGCAAGUCUUGGUCGCCUAAGGUUCAGAACUCAAGACAACUAGCUAAUAGCUAUAAAGCAGAGCAGUCAUUGGUUUAAAAUUGCUGCACUAACAAAUAUUAAUUUUGCAGUUGCCUUUAGUACACUGUACACCCAUGCCCAUCGGGGAAUAACAAUAAGAUAGAUUCUUUAUAGGGAUGAAAAUUAGAACCUCCCUUCAUAUGAAUAAUAAAAUACAUGAACUGAUAAAUUUCACUCAAGAGAAACAGAAUACAGGAAAGAUGCCAUGUUGUUAUGAAGUGAUAUUGUUUUGAAUAAUUAGUAAAAGUUGGAUGAUUCAAAUGCAAACCACUUUAUUGGCUAGCAAUAAAUUUUCUAUAGGUAUUAAGCUUGAAAAAUUUACUGCCUUAUAAAUUUACUUCUUCUGCGGGUAACAACUUGUGUUAUUUGCUGUUAAUAAACAGGUUUAGUGUUGAUUUUGGGCAGAAUGAGAUAGAGGUAUUGAAACAUGCCUCAAAUUACUUAGAGCCAACUAACGCAGAAGCUUUCCUGGGGAUAAUAGCUGAUUCUCAAUUGAGGAUUAUAUAUCAGCCCUAUGAUUGGGGAUUGAACUGUUACAGUUAGAAAAAAUUUCCCCUUUUCUAUACAUCUCAUAUACUUAAUCAUAAGGGUUCCCCUUUCGUAUAAAAUUUUCACCAGGGUUAAAACUUGUAGAUUCAUUGUUUUAGAAGAUAUCACACCAGUCAGGCUUCAGUUUUAUUUUUUCAUUUUUUGUACUUCUAGAAAGUAAGUUCAACAAAGUAAUUGUUUAAUCUUCUCUUUUAGAUUCAUAGUUUGGUUAAUCUACAUAUAUUUAUUGAAAUGUGUUAUACAAAAAUAAUACAUGGGGUUGGGAUGAAAGUUUGUCUUGUUCUUUUCCCUGAUAAGUUUGGGGGAGCCUGUAACUGAAUAUCAUUGUGCCAUUGGCUACCUUCGGGAGGUUUAGGGUCUAUGACAUGUGUCAGUUAGGAACGUGAGUGUUGUGGCCGUUAAGGUUGUUAGGCGGUAAAGUCUGUUACUUGUUUUAAAAACUGUUACUCCAAUUACUGCAGGAGGGAAGAUCCAUUGUAAGAUAUGCAUGAAUAUAGCACAGGUUUUGCUUCAAAGGUUCUUUUUGUUUCUUAAAUCAAACAUGCCAUUAUCUGUUAUUUUUGGGUACCCAGCAGUUAUCUGUAAUUGCUUGCAAACACUAAAUUCAACAUAAAUUGCUUCGAUGAAUUCAACCGUACUACUAAUGCUAUCUUUGAUAGAUUUCAUUCGUAAUUUUUAACCACUAACUUGAUUUGUUUGUGGUUAAAAAAAAAAAAAUUUAUUUUUAUUUUCUAUUUUAAAAAGUUCUAAUUUCAAGUUUGAGUUAGUAUUAAUUAUUUUUUAUUUUAUGUAUAAAUAUUAAAUAAUUUUUUCUCAUUAUUAUACUAGUAACCAAAAAUAACAUAAAUAUUUUUAUUAGUAAUUAAAUAUUUAAUUUAAAAUUAUUAAUAAUUUAAAUUAUCUGGAAGUUUUUGAUUUUUUUUCUCAACUCUGAUUAUUAAUUAUGUAUCAAGUUACAUUUUAAGGUAGUGAUGAGCAGUAGGAGUCAUACAUCUUAGUAGCACUUGGUGUUUUUUUUUAUAUUAUGAUUUUAAUAGAAUGUGAUUUUAAAAAUGUUACUUUACAACUUUUGGUAUAAGAAAGUUAUAUUAUCACGUUUGAUUCAUUAAAUAUUUUUUUUAGAAAUGUAAUAAUAAUUUACGAAUUUAUCUUUAUUAAAUAAAAUAAAAUAUUCAUGUAUUUAAUUUUUGUUGACACCAUUUUUUUGACAAAACGGGGUCGACUUGGGUUUUGAAAAAUGAAAACGAAAACGGGAGUCGCCACCAAUCCUUUUUGAUAAGGUGUGAUCGGGUCACCUUGAAAAGUGGUUGUUUUUAAUAAAUGAUUUGAUUUUAUUAAAACAACAAGUUUGGUCACGAAAUUCAGAAAAAUGAGUUCGGGAGUCGGUUACGCAUGAGGAAGGAUUAGCACCCUUGAUACGCCCAAAAUUGGUACCUCGUUGAUUACUUAAUGUCUUGGUGUUGAAAAUUGAGAACUUUAAAGAAAUUGAAAAUACGAUCCUAGAAAACACUUGAAUAACAUGGAUUAAGGUUUAAGAGGAUAUUUGGCUAUUUGGUCAAACGAGAAAUCAAAACCCAGCACAUUAGGGCACAUUUUCUUGAAUUUCCAAACGCAAAACAUUGCCUUACUUCGAAAUUUUAAAAGGAUAUUUGACAAUUUGAUAGAACGAAAAAAAACGAAACCCAGCACAUUAGGGCACGUUUUCUCGAAUCUCCAAACGCAAAACAUUGCCUUUAUUAUUUUUUAGAAAAAAAAAUCCUCGUCUCGAGAAAACGACAUGUCAUAUCCAAUGCGUUAAGACACAACGUCUCGAAUUCCCGAUACGAGAAUACAUGCCAAAAAAUUUAAUUAUUUAAAAAGACAUUUAAUUAUCUCGGGUUUAGAAAAGAGAUCAUGCCCAGUGAGUUAGGACACGAUCUUUUCUUAAUUCCCGGGAUCGUUUAAAAACUUGAGUUUGAAAAGAUUCGGCAUUUAGAUUUAUUGCGAAAAUCGAAACCCAGUAAGUUAGGGUACGACUUUAUCAAAUCUAAACACGAAAUUUUGUUUAUUAAAAAAGUCAUAAUUUAUGCAUUGAACGAAGACAAUUUAACGCAAAAUAGUAAAAAAAAACACGAUGUUAAUAUCAUGAAUUCGGUAAUGUAAGUACGAAUAAUACUAACGAUCAUCAAAAAUGAAAUAAAUAAAUAUAAAAGACAAGUCAAUCAUGUAUACACAAUAAUUAAUAAAUAAACAAAUAAAAACUAAAGCAUCAAAAUAGACAUGUAAAUAAAUAAAGCAAGAAAAUAAAAAAGAUAUAUAUAUGUAUUCGUGAAAGAAAAAAAUGUAUAUGGAUAUAUAUAUAGAUAUGUAGAUAAAUUAUAAAAUAUAAAAAAAUAUGAGUAUGUAUGUAUAUAUUAAAUGAAUUAUAAAAAUAUGUACAUGCAUAAUGCAUAUAUGUAUUUAUAUAGAAUAAAAAUAAAGUUAGAAAAUAAUAUAAAACUAAUUAAUAUAUUAAUAUAAUAGUAACAAAUAAAUAAAAGGAAAAUAAAACUAAUAAUAAUUAAUAAUGAUAAUAAUAGUAAUAAUAAUAAUAGUAAUAAUAAAUGAUAAUACAUUAAAAUAAUUAACAAAAUAAUAAGAUUGCUAAAACACGGACUAAAUUGAUAUAAAAAUGAAAAAACGGGGCGAAAUCGAAAUAAAGAAGACAAGAGGGACCAAAUUGUAACGUGCGCUGAAAGAUGGGGGACCAAUAGGGUAAAUAAAACAAAGCCCCAAAACGCUGCGUUGUAGUGGACCAAAUCAAGAUAAAAAUGAAAUUUUGUGGCCAAAUCAAAAAAUAAAAGAAAAUAGUGAAAAAGGGCCAAAUUGCAACAUGCUGCAAAAUAGGAGGGACUGCGCGAGCAAAUAACCCGCCCGCACAAAAACACGCGGACCCUGGGUCGCGGGUCGGGUCGACGCGCGGGUUAAAGGGCUAAACGACGCCGUUUUGGCUAUUGGUGCUGAAACUCAAAACGACGCCGUUUCAUGGACCCUAUUUAAGUCAAAUUUUUUUAAAAAAUUUUCAUUCUUCAUCCAUUCAUUUAAAAAAAUUCUCUAAACUCUCUCUAGCCCCCCCUCCCUCUGAUCUUGGCUCCGUCCAAUGGCCACCGUGCCGGACUCCGGUCGCCGGCGUCGGCGCCGCCGCGCACGAUGGUUGGCGAAGGCAAAAAAGCUUAUUUUCUAGAUCUCGACCCCCUGAGCCCGGAUCUAGCCUCAAAACAACCGAAAACAAAGGGGAAAAGGCCGUUGUGCCUCUCUUCAACUGGUUCCGUCACCGAAGAAGGAGUCUCCGAUGGCGAGAAGACGGAGCCGACUCCCGGUGAGUUCCUUUUUCCGUUUUCUUAUUUUUUUAUGUAAAAGAUAAAAUAAAAUAAGUAAAAUAAAAUAAACAAGCAGAAACGCAAAUAUGAAAAAAAAAAGAAAAAGUCACCUUCAAAAAUCUAUUUUGUUUUCUUAUUUUCCUUAAUGUUCAUAGCCAAAAUGAAAGAAGAGAAAACUCUUCUUCUUUUACAGUAAACUUGGCUCUUGCCGAAAAGGAAAAAGAAAAAUAAAAAAAAAUCCCCCCAUUUGAAAUCCCUUUGCUUGGGCUUUAUAACCAAAAGAAAAAUCUUUUCUGCUCCUCUGUUGUCUGUUUCUUUGCCUUUGUGGUCAUUUCUUCCUUUUUCUUGCAGGUUUGGCCAGCUGGAGACGUUGACGAGGGCGGAGUUCACGGCUUUUUGCCGUUUUGGUGCAAGCCUGCCAGGCUUUGGGCGGUGUGCGCGCCGAUGGCGCACAUGGGUAGCAGCAGGGGAGCGGCAGCCUAGGAUACCCUGGAGGCUAGGGUUUCCCAAAAAUUUUUAAGGUUUUUGGGCUUAUCGGGCUCUAAGGUAGUGGGUUUAGGUCUGCUGGGCUUGUAUUUGGGUUUAAUUUAGUUUGUUGGGCUGGGGCAAAUUUGGGCUUUGUACAGCUGCCCCUCUUUGCUCGUUGUCGUGUAACGAGAACAGAGCAAAGACCAAGAAAGACCAAAUUUGCCUGGUCUUGCCAAGUCUUGACUUCUUUUUGACACUUCCCUUCUUCAAAUAACUUCGUUCCAGUCCACUAUGUCUUGUUGCUUCGAUCCACUCCACUGCACUUCAGAGAGUUUUAACUUGUAGCUUUCAUCUUCUUUGCAGCAACUUCAGGGGGACGAUGUUUGUGUUUUUUCUGUCUGCUCCGCUACUGCUUAGGGAGAUAGGAUCUAAUAUCUUUGACCUGCUCCACUACUGCUUAGGGAGAUAGGAUCUAACAUCUUUGACCUGCUCCACUACUGCUUAGGGAGAUAGGACUGGUGGCUUAAAUCUACUUCACUACUACUUAGGAAGAUAAGAUUCGCCGUCUUUGAUCUGCUCCACUACUGCUUAGGGAGAUAGGAUCUAAUAUCUUUGACCUGCUCCACUACUGCUUAGGGAGAUAUGACUGGUGGCUUAAAUCUGCUUCACUGCUGCUUAGGAAGAUGAGAUUCGCCGUCUUCGAUCUGCUCCACUACUGCUUAGGGAGAUAGGAUCUAAUAUCUUUGACCUGCUCCACUACUGCUUAGGGAGAUAGGAUCUAACAUCUUUGACCUGCUCCACUACUGCUUAGGGAGAUAGGACUGGUGGCUUAAAUCUGCUUCACUACUGCUUAGGAAGAUAAGAUUUGCCGUCUUUGAUCUGCUCCACUACUGCUUAGGGAGAUAAGAUCUACCAUUUUAAUCUGCUCCACUGCAACUUUAGGGAGAUAGGAUUGGUUUCUUCUGUCUGCUCCACUACUUCUUAGGGAGAUAAGACUUGGUGCGAUCUGCUCCACUACUGCUUAGGGAGAUAGGAUCUACCAUAUUUGACCUGCUCCACUACUGCUUAGGGAGAUAGGACUGGUGGCUUAAAUCUGCUUCACUACUGCUUAGGAAGAUGAGAUUUGCCAUUUUCGAUCUGCUCCACUACUGCUUAGGGAGAUAAGAUCUACCAUCUUCGACCUGCUCCACUGUAACCUCAGGGAGAUAAGACCUGAAAUUCUUUGGUUUACUCCACUGUAACCUUAGGGAGAUAAGAUUUGUUGCGAUCUACUCUACUGUAACUUCAGAGAGAUGAGAUCCUUUAUUUUAAUCCGCUCCACUGUAACUUCAGGGAGAUAGGAUUACUAGCUCCAAUCUGCUCCACUGUAACCUCAGGGAGAUAAGAUCUGAAAUUCUUCGGUCCACUCCACUGUAACCUCAGGGAGAUAAGACUUGCAUAUUCAACCAGCCCCACUGUAACUUCAGGGAGAUAAGGUUUGUGGCUUCGAUCUGCUCCUCUGUAAUCUCAGGAAGAUAAGAUCUCUAGCUUCAAUCUGCUCCACUGUAACCUCAAGGAGAUAAGAAUUGAAAUUCUUCGGUCUACUCCACUGUAAUCUCAAGGAGAUAAGACCUAAAAUUCUUCGGUCUACUCCACUGUAACCUCAGGGAGAUAAGACUUGCAUAUUCAACCUGCCCCACUGUAACUUCAGGGAAAUAAGGUUCGUGGCUUCGAUCUGCUCCUCUGUAAUCUCAGGGAGAUAAGAUCUGAAAUUCUUCGGUCUACUCCACUGUAAUCUCAGGGAGAUAAGACUUGCAUAUUCAACCUGCCCCACUGUAACUUCAGAGAGAUAAGGUUUGUGGCUUCGAUCUGCUCUUCUGUAACUUCAGAGAGAUAGGAUCCUUUAUUUUAAUCCGCUCCACUAUAACUUCAGGGAGAUAGGAUAGUGUCUUCGAUCUGCUCCGCUGUAAUCUCAGGGAGAUAAAAUCUCUGACUCUUUGAUCUGCUUCGCUAUCGAUGCAGGAAGACAAGAUCUAUCAUAUUUGCUGAUCCGUUCACUGGGGAACAUGACCUGUAUAAUAAACCUAAUUAUGCCUAAUGAUUAGGAUGGCAUGAUCAAAAUGAAUCAAAUGCUCCUAACUAGACAUGUGUGAAUGGUGUUUGCAUGAAUGCAAAAUUUUAUUUUUCCGAGAAUGAUCUCGCUUAGGUUGUCAUUACUCGAAGUUUAUUAAGGCUUUGUGACUGACGUGCUACAACACCUUCUCGCUUGACUGGUUUUUCUGAAGAAACAUUUGGCCAGGUUGCCCCCACUGUAAACCUCAAAGUUCAAUCCAUUGGGACGCCAAAAUUUGUACCAUCAUUCUCCCACUACAAUCCAAGGGUAGAAAUAUGUGACUUUUCCUCAAUCUUCUCCUAUCACAAUUCAAGGAUACAGGACGCGAAUCGUUCUAGUUCCUCACACCAUUCCCAAGGUGUCAUACUCAUGUGCAAAUGAAGGAUCUCUUCUCCGAGGUAACCUCUUACUAUUGCCUGAUAAUCAUUGCUUGCUUGUUUAUUUAAGCUUUGCCACCAACAUGGCGCCUUGUCAAUCAACGUAUUUGAAAACAAAAAUCCAAAGAAAAAGUCUAAAUUUAGACUAUUCCUUCUCAAAUUUCCAGCCUUUAAAAUUGGUGUGUUCUAAACAAUAGUCCUACUUUAGGCUCCUAUAUUAUUUAGAAACUUUUCAGAGUAAUAAGCAAAAUUUCCUUUGUAAAAGUUUUAUUAGUCCAUUAAUCAUUAUUCCAAUGCAACAUGCUCGUAAGAAGGGUCAUAACAAUGGAUAAGAAUAAAGUUGGUUCUGAGCAUAGCUCGAAAGAACAAGUUAUCCAAAAAUAGUAAAGAAGGAUGACAAAGAAAUUGGUUGGGAAUGUAUAUCUUGGAAAAGAAUAAAAGGUAUUCCGAGAACAACAAAUAAUAUGAGAAUUGGGUGCCUUAGAUAUCGCAGCUUGAACUUUUCUGUACAAACUUUCUGAAGACCAUUUUAAGUUUAACAUGUGUUUAGGAGAUUUACAGUGCUUUGUCGACGCCCCAAGAUGUCGCUUAUCCCUUCAUGUUGAUUCAAGUAUAGCAAGAUCACCACAUGCCCCCAAUUUGAUCAAAAUUUGAAUUGCUCUGAUCACCUCAUGCCCCAUUCUGAUCAAUAUUUGACCCGCCCUUUUUGGGUUUUCAACUCAAAUCCCCUUUGGCCUAAGACGCCCUUUCCGGGUUUUCCCCUUAGCCUCUCCAAUUUUCAAUUUUCAUUUUCUUUUUUCAAUUUUCAUUCUUAUUUUUCAUUUUUUCAGAGUGCCCUUUGCGGGUUUUCACCUUGGUCCUUUCUUCUUCUUUAAAUGAAGUAUUUCUUGACUGGAUCCGAGUUUAUAGGACUAGCGAUCUCACUAAGGAUCAGUGCUCUUCUGAAAAAUGUCUUGUUUACAACGUAGGGACAUUCUCGAUUUGGCAUUCAUUUCCCUCUAGAAUCCUUUUGGAGAGGAAUGAUCUUUUUCGACAUCCAACCCUCUCGUGGAAUUCUUUGAGAUGACACUGUUCAUUACGGGCUCGUAUCAUUUGUUUCUGGUACAUCCGACCCUGAAGAAUAGCUUUUAACCUUUUUUUUAGGUUCAACUGAUCGCAUCACGAUUGGAUCCAUUCUGCUUCAUCCAAUUCUAACUCAACUAAUACCCGGAGAGCAAAGAUUUCAAUAGGUAAAACUACCUAAACCCCGCAAACCAAAGAGAAAGGUAUUGCCCCGGUACAAAUGUUCGACAAGCAAUGAAGGUAAAUAGUAAUUUCUCAUGCCAAUCAUUGUAAGUCUCAGUCAUUUUCCUUCAAUUUUCGACGUUCAACUCUAGGCAAUUUAGUGACGAAUCGUGGUGUCCACUUCUGAGUUAAUUUGAGACCUCAGUGAUCGUGCCAUUGUUUAAGCUCAAUGCAUUCUCCAAUACCCUCUUCUCUAAAAAUCUGUAUCGGUAUACGAUGACUUUGGCUCAUGAAGUAGCCUCUCAAAAUGAAGCAAUGCCCAUUAGAAGUCUUCGAUAAUGGUGAAGUCCAUGCCUCAUUGUGCUCGAAAUUUGAGUCGCCCCUUUUCGGGUUGUCAACUCAAAACCUCAUUUGGUCACAAAGCGCCCUUUGCGAGUUUUCGCUUUGGCCUCUCCUUUUAUUUUUCUUUUUCUUUUUCAUUCUGAUUUUUUCAUCUAGAUUUCUCUUUUUUCAUUCUUCUUUCUUUUUUCAGUUUCAUUUUCAUUUUGAUCUUGAUUUUGAUUUUUUUCUUCUUUCUUCUUUUUUUAUUUUGAUUUUUAAUUUUUUUCCUUUUCAUUUUUAUUUUGACUUUGAUUUUGAUUUUUCUUUUUCUUCACUUUUUGAUCUGAGCCUUUAGGGGUGCAACUACGACAGAAAACUUUGGAUCUUCCUCUUUAAUCAGGAUGGACCCAACAACAACUUGAAGAGGUAAAAAUUCGACUUCAAAUGGACAAAGCUAUGCUGACUCCACGAGAAAGGCAUUGCCCCGGCAAAGAAUUGCAUCGUUCAUACUGUAAAUUUCUAACAUUGUGCUAUUGCACAGAUUUCAUUAUUGGCGUUUAACCCGGGGCAUAUCCUGGUAUGAUCAUACGAAGACAUCUUUGAACCUUGAGGUCACUUAAUAAGGUGUUGCUUCGUCUCUGCGGUCAGGUCAAUUCUAAACUUUACCACGCUCACAAUUUCUAAUGAUUUUUUGUGAGGUAGGAUCUGUCUGUCCUCUUAUUCAACCGUCCUUAACAAGUCAGGAGAUAAACUACAAUCUUUGUCAUUUUCAAAGCCCUGAGAUCCCUCUGAACACAUGCCUCGCUCAAAAGAAAAAUCUGGGUCUGUAGCAGAGUCAUUCACGUCAUUGAUAUCCAGGGACUCAUAAUAAGUACCAAAGAAUAUACAAAAGAAAGUAUAAAUUUAUGAAUAAUUAUUUAUACAAUAUGAUUGUGAAUGAAUGAUGUGGAAGAAAAUCUAAAAGAAUGAAAUAAUCAGAAAUAAUUAUUCAAAAAGAAUGAAAGAAUAUUUGCUCAAAAAGGAAUGCAAAUAUGUAUUUUAUUAGAAUGAGCCUAUUUCACAAAAAAGUUCUUAUUGCCUCUAGGCUAAAAGCAACAAGUGUGUUCUGGAUAUUACUCUGAGUAAGCUCUAAAUACUACAAGGGUCUCUUCUGCAGUCUAAUUAUUCAGAACACUCUCAAGUUUAGAAGGGCGAACAUCUAAUAAGAUCUCUUCUCUAUUUGUUUCUUCAGAUUCGACACUGAUGUGAACAUUUCCCAACAUUUCUUCAUUCAUCGCAUUCCCUUCAUUAUCCGUAUAAUUGAGCAGCGGGUUUUUUGUACUGAUUGAAUCAUCAAAUUUGACAAUGCCCAUAUUGAUAAACCUUUCGACCAACUUUUUAAAGGCAGUGCAGUUCUCUAUUGAAUGCCCCGUAAUUCCCGCAUGGUAGUUGCAUUGUGCAUUCAUAUCGUACCAUUUGGGAUAAGGAGGUUGUAAAGGGGUCAAGUAACGAGGAGCAACAACAUGCGCAUCGAACAAGCUUUGAUACAGCUCCUUAUAUGACAUCGGAAUUUGUGUGAACUGGAGCUUCUCAGUACCUGGUUUCAUUCCAGGUUCUUGCUUUAAAGGGCUCCGAUGGCUGGUGGUCUCCGUCUUUGGCCUGCCCACAGUGAUUGGUUUUGAGUGGCCCUUGUUAUAUCCGCCUACAUUAUCCCUUUUAUUCCCCUUCUUCCUUGGGGACUUUGUAGUAUCUGGGUACUCUACCCUCAUCUGCUUUAUUUCGGCUAGAUUAGCAACAGGAUUAGCUAAAUCGUUCCUCAAAUUGGGUCUUAAACCUGUCAAGCAAUUCACUGGUGUCAAUGUACCAGUCUGAUAAUAUCGGGAUCCGAUAGUAAAAAGUGCUCUUUGUGGGCGCCCAUCUGGCUGGACCUGGACACUUGUUGGAGUACAAUCCGAGGAAUAGACAAGAUCCUCAUUAUCAACCCCAAAAUAAACCACCGGGUCUUUCACUUCUUUUGACUUUCCAGCUAGCAAUCGGUUGAACUGGUUUAUCAUAGUUCUCCGUAAUUCUAGCAUCUGAUCUUUCAUCUCCUGUUGAAAUUCAGUCAAUUGCCCCUACAUCUGAAUCUGCAUUCGCUCUAAUUUUUCCAACCUUCGUUCCAUUUCUCUAGCCUUUGCUUGGAUAUCGUAAGAGUGUUUAGUUGGUUGGUUUUCUAGGUUAGCUGAAAUAAAUUUACUCGUUCAGACUCUUUCAAUGGAUUUUAAUGUAUGUAAUGCAAUGUGAUGCAAAUGCAUGAAUGCCUAAAGAGACGUUGAUUCUGAUUCAAUUACAUUUAGGAAACUUUUCUAGAAAGCAAAUUCCCUUACAUAAAAUGGAUACAUGUACGACCUCAUCUUCAUAUUCUAAGAAACAACAUUGGUCUUUUUCUUCAUCCGCAUGUUUGAAGUAAUCUCGCCAAUAGAUACCAUUGCUAGCUCCUUCUUUUGAUCUUGGUCACGAUCCAUCAUCUGCCCCUCUUCAUAAGGCUCGUCAGCUUCUUGGAACGUCGAAGGCUCUUAGACAAUCUCCUUGAAUCCUCAGGCCACGAAGCAGGAUCACGAACUCUUCCAUCACCCUUUUUGCGUUCCUCAAAAUAUAUUCGAGAAGUCGUAUUAUUUUCUACUUUAUUAAGGAAUUCGUAUUCCAUGACAAGCUUUCUAAUUUAGUAAUCGAGCUUGAAUCCAUAUCUCUUUCCUAAGAUGCAAAUGCAAUGCAAUGCAAUCAUAAUCAAAACACAAUAAGAGGGGUUAGUGCAAAACAUAAGCAAGCACAGAAAACAAAAAGUACCUAAUCAGGUAGAUACUAGGGGUUUGGAGUGGCUCUACCUAGGUUAAAUUCCUAAGUCUACUAUAUGAGGGUUGGUUCUAAAGUCAAGGUACCCGAACCAGCAGAUUCCUCGAUCUUCACCCAUUAUAGGCUCAUACAGACCAAGUUCAGUUCAGGGGAAUACAUUUCCCUAUGGAUGCACGGAGAUGAAAAUCUCACGAAGACAUAGGUACGGAUGUAUCCCAGAAGUGAUCCACUAUCCUGCACGGAGGUGAAAACCUCACGAAGGACUAGUUUCUCACUCCCACUUAAAAGGGAAUAAUCGAGCGAUUAUGUAAUGCAAUAUGCAGAAAUAUAUCAAAAUUCAAACCAAUAGAGCAAAUACAAACUGAAGUAAGGAUAAUCGUAACAAAAACGGACAAACAUACAACAAAAUGACCGUAGAUUUGAACCAAGCUUUCGGGUGACCUCUAGGCAUUCGGUGUGGUUCUACCUAGGGUAGGCUCUUAAGGUUCAUUAUAUGCAGCUCGGUUCUAAAGUAAGGGUACCUGAACCAACAGAUUCCUCGAUCCUCACCCAUUAUAGGCUCAUACGGAUUGAGUUCGGUUCAGGGGAAUACAUUUCCCUAUGGCCAUGCGGAGAUGAAAAUCUCACGAAGACAUAGGUACGGAUGUAUCCCGGAAGCGAUUCACUAUCCCAUGCGGAGGUGAAAACCUCACGAAGGCGUAGUUUCUCACUCCCACUUAAAAGGGUGUGACCAACGGUCAUGCAAUGCAAUGUGCAGAAAUAUACAUCUAAAUACAGUAAUUAUAAACAAAAUGAUAUUGACUGAAAUAAAGACGAAUGAAAUGCAACACAAGGAUCGUGAAAAGUUUUCAAUCUUUGAUAAAAGACAAAAAGUAAUCAACACAUGGCUUGACUCUCGUAUUUGUCCCCAGUGGAGUCGCCAAGCUGUUGACACCAUUUUUUUAACAAAACGGGGUCGACUUGGGUUUUGAAAAAUUAAAACGAAAACGGGAGUCGCCACCAAUCCUUUUUGAUAAGGUGUGAUCGGGUCACCUUGAAAAGUUGUUUUUAAUAAAUGAUUUGAUUUUAUUAAAACAACAAGUUUGGUCUACGAAAUUCAGAAAAAUGAGUUCGGGAGUCGGUUACGCACAAGGAAGGAUUAGCACCCUCGAUACGCCCAAAAUUGGUACCUCGUUGAUUACUUAAUGUCUUGGUGUCGAAAAUUGAGAACUUUAAAGAAAUUGAAAAUACGAUCCUAGAAAACACUUGAAUAACAUGGAUUAAGGUUUAAGAGGAUAUUUGGCUAUUUGGUCAAACGAGAAAUCGAAACUCAGCACAUUAGGGCACAUUUUCUUGAAUUUCCAAACGCAAAACAUUGCCUUACUUCGAAAUUUUAAAAGGAUAUUUGACAAUUUGAUAGAAUGAAAAAAACGAAACCCAGCACAUUAGGGCACGUUUUCUCGAAUCUCCAAACGCAAAACAUUGCCUUUAUUAUUUUUUAGAAAAAAAAAUCCUCGUCUCGAGAAAACGACAUGUCAUAUCCAAUGCGUUAGGACACAAUGUCUCGAAUUCCCGAUACGAGAAUACAUGCCAAAAAAUUUAAUUAUUUCAAAAGACAUUUAAUUAUCUCGGGUUUAGAAAAGAGAUCAUGCCCAGUGAGUUAGGACACGAUCUUUUCUUAAUUCCCGGGAUCGUUUAAAAACUUGAGUUUGAAAAGAUUCGGCAUUUAGAUUUAUUUCAAAAAUCGAAACCCAGUAAGUUAGGGUACGACUUUAUCAAAUCUAAACACGAAAUUUUGUUUAUUCAAAAAGUCAUAAUUUAUGCAUUGAACGAAGACAAUUUAACGCAAAAUAGUAAAAAAAAAACACGAUGUUAAUAUCAUGAAUUCAGUAAUGUAAGUACGAAUAAUACUAACGAUCAUCAAAAAUGAAAUAAAUAAAUAUAAAAGACAAGUCAAUCAUGUAUACACAAUAAUUAAUAAAUAAACAAAUAAAAACUAAAGCAUCAAAAUAGACAUGUAAAUAAAUAAAUAAAGCAAGAAAAUAAAAAAGAUAUAUAUAUGUAUUCGUGAAAGAAAAAAAUGUAUAUGGAUAUAUAUAUAGAUAUGUAGAUAAAUUAUAAAAUAUAAAAAAUAUGAGUAUGUAUGUAUAUAUUAAAUGAAUUAUAAAAAUAUGUACAUGCAUAAUGCAUAUAUGUAUUUAUUAGAAUAAAAAUAAAGUUAGAAAAUAAUAUAAAACUAAUUAAUAUAUUAAUAUAAUAGUAACAAAUAAAUAAAAGGAAAAUAAAACUAAUAAUAAUUAAUAAUGAUAAUAAUAGUAAUAAUAAUAAUAAUAAUAGUAAUAAUAAAUGAUAAUACAUUAAAAUAAUUAACAAAAUAAUAAGAUUGCUAAAACACGGACUAAAUUGAUAUAAAAAUGAAAAAACGGGGCGAAAUCGAAAUAAAGAAGACAAGAGGGACCAAAUUGUAACGCGCGCUGAAAGAUGGGGGAACAAUAGGGUAAAUAAACCAAAGCCCCAAAACGCUGCGUUGUAGUGGACCAAAUCGAGAUAAAAAUGAAAUUUUGUGGCCAAAUCAAAAAAUAAAAGAAAAAAGUGAAAAAGGGCCAAAUUGCAACAUGCCGCAAAAUAGGAGGGACUGCGCGAGCAAAUAACCCGCCCGCACAAAAACACGCGGACCUUGGGUCGCGGGUCGGGUCGACGCGCAGGUUAAAUGGUUAAACGACGCCGUUUCAUGGACCCUAUUUAAGUCAAAUUUUUUUAAAAAUUUUUCAUUCUUCAUCCAUUCAUUUAAAAAAAUUCUCUAAACUCUCUCUAGCCCCCCCUCCCUCUGAUCUUGGCUCCGGCCAAUGGCCACCGUGCCGGACUCCGGUCGCCGGCGUCGGCGUCGCCGCGCACGGUGGUUGGCGAAGGUAAAAAAGCUUAUUUUCUAGAUCUCGACCCCCUGAGCCCGGAUCUAGCCUCAAAACAACCGAAAACAAAGGGGAAAAGGCCGUUGUGCCUCUCUUCAACCGGUUCCGUCACCGAAGAAGGAGUCUCCGAUGGUGAGAAGACGGAGCGACUCCCAGUGAGUUCCUUUUUCCGUUUUCUUAUUUUUUUAUGUAAAAGAUAAAAUAAAAUAAGUAAAAUAAAAUAAACAAGCAGAAACGCAAAUAUGAAAAAAAAAAGAAAAAGUCACCUUCAAAAAUCUAUUUUGUUUUCUUAUUUUCCUUAAUGUUCAUAGCCAAAAUGAAAGAAGAGAAAACUCUUCUUCUUUUACAGUAAACUUGGCUCUUGCCGAAAAGGAAAAAGAAAAAUCAAAGAAAAAUCCCCCCCUUUGAAAUCCCUUUGCUUGGGCUUUAUAACCAAAAGAAAAAUCUUUUCUGCUCCUCUGUUGUCUGUUUCUUUGCCUUUGUGGUCAUUUCUUCCUUUUUCUUGCAGGUUUGGCCAGCUGGAGACGUUGACGAGGGCGGAGUUCACGGCUUUUUGCCGUUUUGGUGCAAGCCUGCCAGGCUUUGGGCGGUGUGCGCGCCGAUGGCGCACAUGGGUAGCAGCAGGGGAGCGGCAGCCUAGGAUACCCUGGAGGCUAGGGUUUCCCAAAAAUUUUUAAGGUUUUUGGGCUUAUCGGGCUCUAAGGUAGUGGGUUUAGGUCUGCUAGGCCUGUAUUUGGGUUUAAUUUAGUUUGUUGGGCUGGGGCAAAUUUGGGCUUUGUACAAUUUUUAUAAUAAAUUUUAUUCUUAACAAUAUUUAGAUUCAGUAUUUAAUAAUAAAAUUUAAUUAAUAGUUUUUAAAUUAUUUUAUAAUUUUUAAUUUUAAUUGAAAAUAAAAUUGUUUCAAAUUUGUCUUGCAUAUAUUUUUUAAAGAUAAUAAGGAAAAAUAUUUGGUACACUUUCAAAUGAAGUUUUUAGGCUCCACACGUAAGGUUAAGGGGUUGACAAGUGUCUAUAGAGGUAUAGUAGAAUAUAAAAAAAAUAAAUAUUUAAAAAAAAAAGACUCAUAUUAAUUUUUUUAAGAUUACUUAUGGAAUAAAAAAAUUUACUAUAAGCGCACCAAAUAUUUACCCAUAUAAUAAUGCAUAUAUAUAAAAUAAGUAUAUAUAAACUUGUUUUGAAAUAAAUCAAUGAGCUAAACCAAAACCUUAAUUUUUUUCCCUAUUGCUUGUAAAUAUUCAUAAAGAUUAUAAUAAAAUUGAAUUUUUAAUUAAUAUACCGAAAAGAAAAUAGAGAAAAGAAAAUAAAUAUAAUAUGCAUAUAAAAAGUAAAAUUAAGGAAAAAAACUAAAUAAAACCAAGUAGGGAGGAGACAAUAGUUUGUUUGUUUCAUUUUUUUUUUUUGGUUUAUUAAUAGGCUAAUACUUUAAACCAAUAUAAAAUAUGGUUAAUUGUGUCUUAUUAAUAACUUCCUCAUCUUUUAUUAUGAGAAUCAGAUUACCUGAAAGUAAUUUCCAAGAAAAAAAGUUAAUUUUCAAAAAAAAAAAAAUUUGACAUAACAAAUAUUAAUACUUUUGUAACUGAUAUUUAUAUCAUACCAAAUGCUUUUGAAUAUUUUAUUUUCAAAGGAGUGAUGUAUUAUAUUUGUACUAGGGUUGCUUAUUUGACUUUGUUUUCUCAAAAUUCUUGUAUUGGUCAUAUUUCUCUUGUAAUCCUCCCAAUUCUCGUUAGCUUUCUCAAUGUUAGACAUGUUACGUUUCUAUUAGAUUGCACUACAAUAUUAUUAGCUUUGAUUUUUAAAUAUUUUUAUUUUUAAAUAUAAAAAUUUAAAUUUGCAAAUAUUACUUUCAUCAUAUUUAUCUUUUUUCAAGUGUUACAAACUCAAAAAUAAAAUUUCUAAACUACUUAUGUAUUAUACAAAUUUUUUUUUAGUAUUCGCAAAUACUUUAAAAAAUAUUUCUAAGUCAAAAUACUACAGUUUCAAAAAAGUCUCGAGACAUAGUGUAAUAUGUCUUGAAACAUAAAAUACUUUAGGGGAGCAAAGUCUCAAGAUAAUUUUAGAAAAGUCUCGAUUUGUCUCGAGACAUAAAAUACUGAAGCUAAAGUUUUGCUUCAAGGGUGAAAUGUCUCGAGGCAAAACUCUCCAAGUCUUGAGACAUAUUAUGAUGUCUCGAGGUAAAAAUAUGAUCGUGAGAGCACUCUCUUACGUCUCGAGACAUAGACUUGCAGAUUGCAUUAAAUGCGCGAAUUCAAUGCUUUCAACGGUUAGAAAUUCCCUUCAACGAUUCCAAACAUCAAAAAAUUAAUGGGAGGAUAUAAAUAUAACCCAAGAAUGCUCAAAAGAAGAUAGGAAACAAUCUUAUCAAGAUCAAGAAAAAAAAAUUAAUCAUUUCACCUUGUUCUCAUUUUCACAUGUAAACAACCUUGUUGUUUUGUAAUCGGAAGAGUUUUAUCAUUGCAUAUCUAUCUUUUAGAGGUGCUUAUUCAUUCUCAAUUGUAUUUCUCAAAGUUGUGUGAGAUUACUUAAGGUUUUUGGUAGAAAAUCUUAAGGAAAGUAACUCUAUCUUGCCUAAUGUUGUAAAGGUUAAACCUUAUCCUUCAAAAGUUUCAAAUUAGUUAAUUUGAGAAAUUCUUAAUGAUAAUUAGUUAAGAUAGUAGAAGUAGGUAAUUGAAGUCGAACCACUCUAAAUAUUUUAUGUCAAUUUUCUUGAACUCCUUAUUUUAAUUUUUUUUAAACACCAAUUUACCCUCUCUUUGUAUAUUUGUUACAAGACAAUGCAACUUCUAAAAUGUCUUUUGAUGAAUGCAAAAUACUACCACUUGUGCUUUUGUGUUAUUAUUAUUUCUUAUCUUAAGUCUAAUUUUGUAUUUAAUCUCUCUAUUUUAUGAAAAUUGAGAAAUUAAAUUCUUCUGUUUUAAUUUGUUAAAAGUUGGUUCUCGUAUUUUGAUAAGUCUAAUUUAAUCAUACGGUUAAACCUUACUAUUAAAUUAUUGACUCGAAAAUCAGCAUUUCAACGAUUUACAUUUAUAUGUAAAGAAUUAGUAAAAACUAAGAGCACGUUUGGUUCGCUGUAUUGGAAUAGAGGCAUAAUGGAAUAGAGGCGUAAUGGAAUAAAGGUGUAAUGGAAUAGAGGCGUAAUAGCAAAUCAAUUGUUUGGUUGAAUGUAAUGGAAUAGAGGAGUAAUAGUAUUAUUGUGUUUGGUUGAAUGGAAUAGAGGUGUAAUAGCAUAAUGGAAAAAAACUAAAAUGACUAGAAUACCCUUAACAUAAAUUUGUUUAGGUGAAUGAUUAUUGCUAUUGUUAUUAAAUUUUAAUAAGAUUAUUAAUAUAAAUAAUAAAUAAUUUAAUCAUAUUUUAACAUAAUUAUUAUUAAAUAUAAUUUAAUAAAAAUAUAUAAUUUAGUAAAAUUCUUAAUAUUAAAUAUUCUUAUAUGAAUUUUCUAAAAUCAUAAUAUAUAAUACUAUAAAAUAUAAUUUAACAUAAUUAUUAUUAAAUAUAAUUUAAUAAAAAUAUAUAAUUUAAUAAAAUUCUUAAUAUUAAAUAUUCUUAUAUGAAUUUUCUAAAAUCAUAAUAUAUAUAUAAUACUACAAUACUUACAAAUUCUAUUAAUCUGAUCCUAACUUUAAAAAAUUCAAUAAACUUAACCUUCAAUUUUACAUAUUAUAUAAAUUUAACCAUUAUUCUUAAAAUUCAAAAAUAAAAAUUAAAAAACUAAAAAAUUUAAACAUUUAUUUUUCGAUAAAAAUACAUACAAAAUUAUAAAAAUAUUUAUAAAUAAAUGAAUAUCUAUUUUUCUCAUUUUUUAACAUGACAUUUAUUUAUUAGAAUAAUAAAUUUAUAAAUAAAACAAUUUAAGGAGAAAAAGAAAUGAAAAAGAAUUAGACAAAUUUAAAAAAAUAUUAAACAUUAACUUGGCUGGAUCUUGUACAAGGAAAACAAAGCCAUUAACUUGGCAACCAUACAUCUGAAAUAAGCAUAUGAAAUUGAAGUUCAAAAUAAUCAAAGAAAAUGAAGCUUCAAAAUGUGUGACAUUGAACACAUAAUCAAUUACAGAAAAGUUGCUAUGUUUUGGCACUAAAAGCAACCGCAAGCCACAACUACCAGCAUGUCAAGGAUUAAAUUUGUUUUGGCACCAAAAGUAAACCACAAGUCACAAGAACCAGCAUGUCAAGGAUUGAAUUUGUUUGGGCACUAAAAGCAACCGCAAUCACAAGCCACAAGUACCAGUCCAACCCCUUAACCUACAGCUUAAUUGCAGAAACCUUAUGAGCCCUCAAACUGAUAUAUAUUGCCGAAUCUUGGUAAGAAGAAGCAAAGGAGAGAAAAAGGGUUUUCCAGGAAUGAAAGAAAAUGAAAAUGAAUACCUUGAAAACGGCAUAAUUAGAAAACAACAUGCUCAGUUAGUAAGCAAUAAAGAAUAUUUAGUUUAAAUGACAGGAAGGAAGUCUAAUUCAUUAUGCACUCCUUUGUGCUAAUAGGAACCAUUUCAUAGUCGAGCAUACGAACAAUCAGAAACAGAAACUUAUAUAAUAUCCAAGGCAACACCAAUGUUCGUGAAGAGAAUUCAGAAUUACGAACAGCCAAAAACAAAACUUGAAAAUAACCUACAUAAAAGCAUUCAAUGUUAUAUUUCAUAUUUACUCCAGGCUAAUGUUAUUUUCUCCACCAAUUUUAAAAACAUUGAGCAUGACUAACUAUCCACAGAAGCAAGUAAGAAAACGAAAUUCUAAAUUCCACAAAAGAAACCAACUACUGCAAAACUUGAGAGCAUCAGGAAUAACCAUUCUCUUGUCUUGUCAUAUGGUGCAAGAAUCCCCUCAUAAGCCUUCAAUUCACACCAGCGAAAGCUGCCACCCCAUGCUUAGUCUUUGCAAGGAAUCAUCCUGCAAUCAAAGAAAAUAUCAAUUACCAUAAGGACAGUCAAAAUGAAGCCCAGUUAUAUACUCCAUAUAUGCUGAAGCCAAACACAUUGCCUUUGCACCAUAAGAUUCAUAGACCUUGUCAGCUAUUAGUUUUCUCUCAAUCCAACAAUAAUAACCUGAAGCACACUCAUUCUACUCUCUUUCAAUUCGUCCCUACAUUUUACCUAUAACCAACUAUAACAAACACACAGAUCUCUAACAAGAAAAACCAAUAGCAAACUCUCAUUAUUAAACAUAAAGCCAAAUUGAUUAGGAAACUACUUUGGAGGAAGAUUGGCAGUAAGUUGCUCAAGUCAAGACUGGGAAACGGAUCUCUAGAUUCAAUUUUGUAACACAUGCAAGUUUACCAAGUCUACCACUCAUUUCACUACACAAAGACACCCUGAAAAUAUUGCAUUCGAUCAUUUCACAAGAAAAUAGAUUGAUAAUCUAAACAUCCAUCAGUAUUGCAAAUGAUAAGCUAGAAUUGGCAGAGAUUUACAGGUCCACGAUAGAAAGUAAAGCAAUCCAGUAUAAUAGAACCAGAAAGCCUUACAUAGAAAAGAACAUAUAUGAUAUUAAAAUCAAUAAAAACCUGGGAGGAGUUUGUCCCAGCGAAGAGUCCUCUUCAUCACCAGUCGAGUACAAAUUAGUAAAAUUUGACUCGAACUUUUCAUCAUCCACAUCGACUCGUGGUUGCACCUCCAAUUCAUCCAUCAAUUCAUCAUCGGUCUCCUUAUGCUUCCCAGCCAACUUUCUCCGCAAAAUGGCCUCAAGAACUGAAGGGAGUGCCUCUUCAUACCCUUCAAAGUACUUCUUGAUUCGGGUUUUCAGCUUUGGCACCAAAGAACGAACAAAGUUAAACAACAUAACAAAAAAAUAAAUUAAAGACUUGUUCAAAGUCGGGCAAGGUUUAGGGAUUCUGAUUUGGGGAAGAGGGGAAACGGGAAAUGGGGAAAUGGUUGUUAAAGACUUGUUCAGAGAGGGAGCUGGAAAGAGUUGAGUUUUCAGCGUUGGUUGAAAAAGACUGGGAGGGUAAAACAGGGCAUAGAAAUUGGGAAGACGUCCGUAAUAGCUAAUCGCCGUUUUGGGAAGGGAAUACAAAAGCAGAGAUUUUGGGGAAUAGGCCAGUAAUGUAAUACGCCUGUAAUAGGCAUACAGCGAACCAAACGCCGGAUUAGGUGAGGUGCGCGGAAUAGAUGGGUAAUCGCAUACCCAUUACAGCGAACCAAACACGCUGUAACCCUUUCAUUUGUUUACUAGCCAUUCAACAACUCAAUUUUCAUAAAAUAUGUGGAUAAACAAAUUAAAGUCUCAAUUUUAAUGAAGUAUAUGACUAAAAUUCAUAAUCAAACUUGCACCAAAUUGCAAACUUUGUUCACUUUGAAUUACUUUAACGAACCUGGUUGGUAGAGCAUUUUUCUUUUCUUUCUGGUAAGCCUACUUUCGGCAUAUGUUGAUUUCAUACAGAUACACAGUCUACACGUAAUUGCAAACAUUUUUUUUUAUUUUUAGUUAGGAGGAUGAAGGAUUAAAGUUUUUAUAAUAUAAAAAUAAGAAAAUGCUGACAUAUAUUUGGUCCAAAAUAAAAAUAACAUGUUAUAAUAAACGCCGAUAAAGGCGGUAGAACGAUCACAAAGUAAUAAGAAAAGAAAAAAAAACACAGAUUUUAUAUGGAAACCUUUUUGGGAAAAAAUCACGGGUAGAGGAGGAAAAAUUCACUAAUAUUAAAAAAUGAAUAAUACAUGAGGAGUUUCGACUACAUCUAUUCAAUGAUUGAAAAUCUUUAUUUUAAUCAAAGUCAAAUAGAAGAAAAAUAAUUCUAUACAGAUUCAACUUGUGUUAUAUGGUCUCCUUAUUUUGCUACUAUAUUUUUUUCUUCGAUAAGUGACAGGAUUCGGGUUAGACAAACUCUAACAUAGCAAAUCUUGUCCAUGAAGUUUCUUUUCAAUAUCUUGUAAUUUUUUUUCUUUUGAAUAAUUUGUUUAAUAACAAUGGAGGAGUAUGCUUGUUUGAAACUAAAUAUAUUUCAUCGAAUAUUUGUUAUAAAAAUAAAAUUAUAAUGAAGGUAGAAUGGUAAUGGUGAUUCACAUCACAUUGGUGCGGAGAAUAGAGGUAUUUAUGUAUUGGAUUGGAUCUAUAUAUGAUAUUAAUAUACUUUAUAUUUGUUCAAGUUUGAAUCAGCUCGAAAUAUGAACUUAAAAUUUUGUCUAAGCCCAUCCGUAUUUGAAAAUAGUUAACUAAGCCCAUUUUAGACCCACCCAUAUUAUUUUUUAAAAAAAUUAAAUAUAUUUAUAUAAUUUUUAAUUUAAUAUUUAAUAAUUUUAUAGAUUUUUUUAUUUGUUAAAAUUUUAUGUAUAGUCAUCUUAACAUUUUUUAAUGUUUACACCAUAGUAAUAUUAUAUACUACUAUAGAUUUAAUUUUUAUGUAUUAUAAAUUACAUAAUAUAUAAAAAUAAUAUAAUAUAAAAUAAUAAUAAUUUAAAAAUCCAAUCCAUAUUUUAAAGUGGACUAAUUUUUUUUGCUCAAACACAUUUUUUGGGUCUAAUAUUUUUACUCAAACCCUCUCAAAUUUCAAGUAGGCCUUCAGGCUUAGACGGGUAACCCAACCUAUAAGCAAGUCUAGUAGAGAGCUACUAAAAUGGGGUGUUUCACACCAUGGAUGAUGUGGAGAGCCAUUAGAAAUGUUGAUUUUCUGAGAUUUUAUGAGCUUUGAAAGCUUUUUGGGAAAUAUUUGGAGUUGUAGCCUAUAUCCUAGAGUCAUCUUCUUCUUGUGAUGGAGAGGGUGCUUUUGGAGGAAGAGCUUUGAUGUGGGUUCCACUAGAAUAAUGCCCUUCUAUAUAGGGUGGCUGUAGAGACAGGAGUGUUUCAUUAAGAUGUGAUGGGGUGAUUUGAUAUUAGUGUGUAAGAAUGUGUAUAAUAAUUGUCACCCAGUCGAUAGGGAGGUUAUAAUGUGACUUACUUUGGGGCUAUCGAAUGUAAGGAGCAGUCAAUAAGGUUAAUGUAGAUGCUCAUUUGU
rnacentral:lncRNA from 1 species